rnacentral:lncRNA from 1 species
AUAUGGGGAGAGCUGUGGACAGUGACAAAGUUAGAACUUGAUUGCGAUCUUGUGCCAUGCGGCGCGUAUCAACAACUGCUCUCCCAAUAUGGGGAGAGCAGUGGACGGUGGCAAAAUUAGAACUUGAUUGCGAUGGGGGCCAAAAUACAUACAAAUUAAAAUUUUAACAAGUAAAUAAAAUAUACCUAAUCAAAAUUUUGAUAAAGAAAUAUAUUGACUAAAUUGUUAGUAUAAAAAAAACAUUAUCUUUUUUUAUUUAUACUUAACUUUUAAUUAUUUUAUUUAUAUUAUUUUACUCGAAUAACUUUAAAAUUUACUAAAUCUAAUAGUAAUUCAGUUAAUAAUUUAAUUUCUUAAUUUUUACUAGAUACAAUUGUGUUAUUAGUUGACUGAGCUAUUAACUUUAAUAUAAUCCUUUUAAUUAAAUAAAAAGUUAUCUAAAAUAAUUAGAAAUUAUGAAAGUAUGUACUAAAUAACAAAAAUUAAAAUAAAUUUAGAGUUGAGAGAGUAUUAUGUUCGCACCAAGAACUUUUUUAAAAGAUAGGUUGGUCAAUAUACUUUUGAGAUUAAACAAAAAUAAAUCCUUUAUAUUUUUGGGGCAAUUUCAUGGAUACCCCUUCCAAAGUCUAAAAUAUCAUAGAUGCCCCUAUAAAGUUUAAAAUAUCACCCAUACCCCUGUAAACACAGAAAAUUAUCAUCAAUACCCCUACUGUUAAUUAUGUUAGCUUUACCAUAGUUAUUAAAUGGUUAAAAAUGGGUUAAAUUUUAAAAUGACUUAUUUACCCUCAAGUUUUUCUUAAGUUAAAAUAUAUGGAGACCCCCUCAACUAUAUGCCAUUUUGAAACAGGUCUCUCAACUUUCAUUUUUUUAGUUGAUAUCCCAUUAGCUUUUAGUUUUUUAAAAAAUUAACUAAUUUCAGUGUAUGAAAAAAUAAGAAGUUUUUAAUUUUUUUUGAUAAUUUUACCAAAUCUAGUGGCUCUAUUUAUAUUUUAUCAAAUAAAUAAUUAUAUAUAAAAAUUUAAAUGAAAAUAAUGUUAAGGAAUUAUCCGAUCUUUCUUUAAUCUUGAAAGCUUAAAAAUUUUUUUUAAUCAAAAUAUUCUUGAUAAUUUUAUCUGCAUUAAACGCAUUAAAAAACUGAAAUAUAAUAUAUUUUAGCUUUUGAANGAAUAUAAAUUGAUAAAGAUACGCAAUUUUAUCUGAACUCGAUUUAAAAUGAGGUAAGCUUAAUUAAUGCUGAAUAGGAAUAGUUUCAGUUAUAGAUAUCGAAAAAUAAAAUCCCAUCUUAUGUAAAUUCAAUUAUGCGUUUGGUCUAUAUUUAAACUGAACUUGAACCGAAAUCCGAAACUAAAAACAAAACCAAAAUUAGAUAAAAACAUACUAUAUAUAAAAUAUAAUUUUUAUAUAUUUUUUAAUAAUUAAUAUAUAUUAAUGAUUUAAUUUAAUAUGUAUAUAUUAAAUACUCAAAUUUAGAUUUACAAAAAAUAUCUUGAAAUACCUAUUAGUAUUUCUACUAUUAAUAAGAAAUAAAAGGUAAAAAUGGUAUUUUGAAAAUUUAACUCCUUUUCAGAUGGGACUUAACGGAUUUUAACUAAUGAGGGGUAUUUAUAAUAAUUUUUGGAGGGUAUUUGUGAUAUUAUCAAUUAUAGAAGGGUAUUGGUGAAAUUAAUAGUUUUUAGAAGGGCAUCUAUGAAAUUAUUCCUAUAUUUUUUAUAUGAAAAUGACUAUAAUGCAAAUUUUGAAAAAUUUGGGGGGGCCAUGGCCCACUCAGCCCACACAUGGCUCCGCCCCUGGCAGUGGAAUUUCUGGGUGGACCUGAUGCAUCUAUAUUAGGUGCACCAUGAAAUUAAAUUUUUUUUUUGAGAGAUAGGUAACUUAAUAUGUUAGUAUAUAUGUUAUGAUUUAGGAUUAUAUGUUCUAUAAUUCAUGGUUAUUGAUUUAGAAAAUUGAAAUUUUAAAAUAAAUUUAUUUUUGGUUUCAUGAAUAGCGUGAAUAAUUUUUAUUAUUCCUAUUUUUUUUUCGAAACCAAUUGGAGUUUAAACUUUUAACCUCUACAUGAUAACUCAUAAAAAAAUAAAUAAAUUAUUACAUAAAAUUGUAUUUUGAAAAAUUAAAAAUUAAAAAUUAAUUUCAUGAUGCACCCAGUAUAAAUGCAUCAGGUUCGCCCAAAAAAUCCCCGAUGGCUGCCAUGUGGCGCCCAUCGAUGACCGGUCCCAAACUAAGUAAUUUGGGGUUGGUGUCCAUAAAAUUUUUGUCCCUUUUAAGAAAAAUCGGUCAUAGGAGAUUUAUUGGUCCAUCCUUUCAAACUUAUCUCGACUAUCAUCUAUUUUAAUCUAAUUAUCUAACUUCUAAAAAAUUUUGAUUUUACCGGCCAAUCUUUAAUUUAUUUGAUUUGAGUAACAACAAAAUUGGAAAGCAUAGGUUAUCUUCACGAAUUUAAUUAAUAUAUAUUUUUUCGCAAUUCACGUUACAAUAAAUUUAUUAAAGUAAGCAAUUAGCGUAAACUUUGUAUCCGAAAAUUUAUCAAAUUACUUAAAUCUAACAAAUUUAAAUGUUGAGUACUAAAACUAAAAUUUAAAAUGACGAGUAAUCAAAUCAAAAUGAUCUAUUCCGAAAAAUUUUAUACAUUUUUACCGACUUUUACUUAGAACUAGACCUAUGCUAAAAAAAAAAAAUUUAAAACAAUAAAAAAAAUUAAUUAAAAAAAAAAACUAGUGCGGGAUGGUCUCGACAAUAUUGUUUCCGGGUUGGGAAUAUUCUGAAUGGCCCGACCCGACCCGCUAAAAAAUUUUAAUACAAUAUUUUAGGCCAGGCUCUGUGGAUUUCAGAAAAUUGGGCUGGACGACCCGGAUUGAGCUCAUCUGAUCUGAUGAGACACAAAUUUGAGCAAUCGACCUGACACCUCAAAACUAAAUAUGGAUCCAACAUUUUAAUACUUUGUAGUUUACAGUGUAUCACUUUCGUACCAUGUGAUUUUAUUUUUCUCUUUUUGUUAUCCACUUCACUAAUUUUUUCGUUAAAUCAACGAUAAAGUUAAAACUAGAGGGUACUAAAAUAAAUAUUUGAUAAAUUAUAAGUAGGGUAUCUGAAAUAUUUUGUAUGUGAUUUAAUAAAAGGCCAGGAGGGGUUGACAAAAAGAAAAAAAACAAACUAUAGAGUACUAAAUUGAUAUACUUUAAACCACGUAGUACUAAAGUGAGAACGUGCGAAACCACAGGAGUUGUAUUUGAAGCUUACUUUCUUUUUUUUUUAUUUGUUUUAAUCAAAUUUGUUCAAACUAAACACUGCAUAGAUUUUGUGACUCCUAGGAUACGAGGCGUGUAAAUUUUAUAUUUAUAUAUAAAUGUAAAUAUAAUAUUUUUUAUAAAAUCUCUACUGUAUUACAAGAAGAAGUGUAGGAGAGCUUUUUUAUAUUCCCAUGAUCUCAUCAGUGUCUAAAACCUUAUAAACGAUUCGCUUUUGUAAGUUACUGAAAUUUAGAGGUAUACUCAAGCUAUAUUAAAUUUUGCAAAGAUGUUUCAGUAUAUAUGUUUUUAGAGUUUGAUUAAUACAACUGAAAUUGACCUAUUAUAGUUUUAAAUUUUAAAAGAAGUCUUCUUUUGGCAUAGUUGCCCUUUUUUAUUUUUUAAAAUAAAGUUUCUAUGUUAAAUAGUACGGAAGAGAAUGAUAAAUUAUUUACAUUUUUGUAUUUAAAAUAUUCAUUUGAUAAUAAAUGAUAAAGAUUCAAGAACAAUAUUUCUUUUACUUUUAAAAUAUUUUGUAAAGGCGUUACCAACCAGUACUUCGCUUAGGGCAUGUUUGUUUCGGCAAAAAUGGACUUUGGAUUGAAGUGGAGUUCGGUGAAAAUUACUUUUUCUCCGUUGUUUGUUUUGUAGUUAUGGAAGUAAAGUUCCAUAAGUUCUGCUGUUUGUUUAGUAAGAAGUGUAUAAUGUAAAAUUAUAAUUUAUAUAUAAAUAAUAAAUAAUUUAAUAAAUAAAAAUAAUACAAUUAUAUUUUUAUAUAAUUAAAUUUAAUUUAAAGCAACUGAAUUAUUUUUUUAUACACAAAUUAUAGUAAUACAAUAAUAAAAUUAUAAAGUAAAAAAAUUAAUAUUUAAUUAAUUAAUUUUUACUAUAUUUUAAUUGUACAAACUAAAUAAAAAAAUAUUAAAAUUUAACUAAUUAAUUUUUAUCAUAUUUUAAAUAUGCCAAAUGAAUAAAAGAAUAAUUAGUACCAUAAUUAAAUAUAUUUAAAUAUAACUAUCUUUACCUAAUAUAUCAUUUUAUUAUUUUUUCUUCACCUCUCUUCACCGUAAUUGACUUCGGCCCAUGGUCCGUAAUUGACUUCGGCCCUUGGUGGGCCGAAGUCAAUUACGCUGUUUUAGUUAACUGAAGUUUCGACCGUAACUGUUUUACGACGAAUCAAACAACAGAAAUAAACAGUUUUUAUCGAAAAUCUCUUCCUCCCUUCCGCUUCCUCUCCACUUCCUUGCAGACAAACUGGGCCUUAACCAGCCAUGCUCACAAAAAAAAAAAAAAAUUUCGUCAAUAUAUCAAGUUAUAUAAAAUUAUUGUUUAUGAAAUAAAAAAACAACUACAAAAUCAAACAAGAUGUAAAUUUUUAUUUUAUACUACAAAUAGAAGGGUACAAAUUAAUUUCACUAAAAUUUAUCGGCGUGAUUACACCGAUGCAUAGAUGCUGUUUGGUGUGGACUGUAGAGCGAGUAGAGAAGGUGAAAUUUAAAUUUUAUCAAUUACAAAUGUUUGUUAUGAUUUAAGUAAAAAAAAAUAAUAUAAUUCAAGUUACAUAAGAACUCCACUUUAUCUACUUACUGAUUUUCUUCUCUAAAGUUUCAAAUUUAAAUUCCACCACACUCAACUCUCGCUAAAACAAAUUAUUAAAUAUUAGAAUUUAAACUCUAUUUUUUUUAUAAUAAGUUAGUAUUUCUUUCUUUGCAAUAAAUUAGGACUACCUCCAAAUAAUAAUAAAAAAUUUAAUUUUUUAAUAGAUCAAAUUUUAUAAAAUAAAUUUAUUGUCGUAUUCUUGACAUAACAAGAGCUACUUAUUUACACCAAAACAAAUAAUAAAAUUUUAAUAACUAAUUAUAUUAGCAUCAAAUUAUAUAAAAAUAAAUAAAAAGAUGAUUGAGUUUACCUUAGACCAUAUGGAUUAUAUUAAAAUAAACAGCGAAAAAAUAAUUACACUUAAAAAACUCAAACACUAUUAAACGUCUUUGAAACAUGCUUGGCCGAGUUUCAAAUAUUACGAGAACAAAUAAUCCGAGAGCGGCAUUGUAGAUCCCUCCACUCUUCACAAGUGACGAGCUCAAAAACUCCGUCGCCGAACCAGAGAGAGAGAGAGAGAGAGAGAGAGAGAGAGACGCAUCUCGCGGCGGCGGAAGCGAUAAUGGCGCCCACCGCCGCCGCCGCGGCCUCCGCCGUGCGCGGCAUCUCGCAGGAGGCCUUCGAGGCAUUGGUGAGGGAGAACAUGGAGGAUCUCGGCAUGGACCCAGACGAGGCCCUCGACGACGCCCUCCAAACCCUAACUCUCCAGGGCGUCGAUCUCUCCGGUGACCCCUCUCUCUCUCUCUCUCGAUCUCGAUCUUUUGAUCCCUAUCUCGAUCUCUCGAUCUCUCGAUCUCUCGAUCUCUCGAUCGUGAUUUCUUUUUGUUCGUUUGGAUUCGAUCUGUAGCAGUGGGAGCCGAUUCGAGUUCGUUGAUAAUUUGGAUCUAAAACCUCCGUGGAAAGUAGCCUAAGUGUUUUUUUUUUUCCUCCCUUCCGUUUGCUUUAUCCAACAUUUGAAAUGGCUAAUGUAGAAGGAGCUAAUGAUAGAUCUUUAAUCAUAUGAUACUGAUCUUGAGAAAAGAAUGUGUGUUCUUAGUGUUUCGAUUUGAAUUCGCCAUUUGUAAUCUGGAUUUGUAUUUUAAGGAAAAAAAUUCAGAAGAAAAAUGAAGAAUAAUCGUGAGUUUUUCAAUUAUCGAAAGUAGUUUAGUGCUUUUGACUCGAAAGGGCAUAUGUUAGUAAUAAAAUCAACAAGUUUACUUUAUGGUUAUGUGCUUGUAGUACGUUUUAACUUGAAUUUCUUUAAUGCAUGUUCUUAUAAACUUUUGCCCUAGUGUGGACUGUAGAGAGAAUCUGUUCCUCUGAUUGAUCUUUCCAUGUGUGAUAUGAAUCUGUUUUAGGAAUCGUCAAGUGCAUUCCUGGGGUGACUAGCGUGAAGGAUAAUCCUGUGAUCCAGACGAUUGAUAGGUUAAAAAGCAUUAUUACUUCUUUGGUGUCUUCUGAAUCGAGCGAUUCGCCAGAUGAGAAAGUUGAUGAAAUUGUUGAGCUUCUUGACAAGCUAUGCGAGCUAUGCUCUGCAGAAGGAUCGGACGGUGCAUCCAUUGUGACAAGGAAUGGAGGAGUAGAACUCCUCACCAAACUAUGCUCUUCACUUGAUGUUAAAUCUGAGAGAGCACUUGUUUCAACCUUGAAGUCAUUGAAUUCUAUCAUCCGUGGUAUGAUUGUCGUAAUUAUAGCUGUUUACUUCAACCGAAUGUCUUUGUUCUGCUUUUUUUAUAUCGUUGUUUAUUGUGGUAAAUCCCUGUUCUUAAAUAAGCUGGGUAAAUUUCUGUUCUUAAAUGCGUUGUAAACUUUCAUUGUAUGCAUCUGUAUAACGGAAACUGUUAUAUUGCUUAUUUCAGAGAAAACAACAGCAAGAUUUUCUUAUUCUAAUGCCUCACAAAACAAAUGUUCACUUUAACACAAUUAACUGCAAAUAGUGGUGGGUCAAGUAGUAUAUAGUUGUACAAAGUAAAAACAUGAAUGUAGGAGCUUUCUUUAUCGUUUAGCUAGAGAUCUCAGCAGAAAAAGUGAUAACAAAAGUGGGGUUGAACCUGAAUUAAUUAAGAUAUCGAAGAUUCACAUUCCUCACUCUUAUAAACCUACUAGUUCUGUGGCUUCUGUAUCUGGAUCAUACAAGUAAUGUUUUCCAGGUAAUGUUGUGUUCAAUCUUGUUCCUGUAUUUACGUAACUUAUGAAAGGUGGAGAGUACUUCAACUACAUUUCUGUGUAUAUUGACAUAAGAUCAAUAGGUUAGUUUGUGGUAACUAUUUUGUUUAAAGGUUUAGGGGAGUUUAUUUUUUCAUAAGUGUCUACAGACAUAAAAAGAGAAAAUCUCUUCUUUGGAAUAAACUGGAGCUCAACCAUGCAACAUGGAUUUGACUUUUCCAUUAUCCAAGUAAUUACUUCCCAGAAUAACUCCUUUUCCUGAACAUGAACAAGGGUAAGUUCUGGUGUCCAGUUGAUUGAAUGAUUUUAAUAUUUGAUUUCAUCUAACAGAUGUUCAAAGUACAGAAACAUUCCGGCAAUGUGGUGGGCCCAAAAUCGUCAUGGAUAUUCUACAUAGGAGCCGUGAAUAUCCAAACCUCUUGGAUAGCGGUUUUGCUGUCGUUGCUGCAGCCUCAAGUGGUAAUGAAGUUGUAAAAGAAUCAUUGAUGGACUUGAAAGUGGAUGAACUUAUUCUAGAGAUUCUGAGGGAGCCAUCCAAAAAUGAACUACGCAGCUUGUAUGAUGCCAUACGCGUCCUUUUAACACCUGAUGAUAGCCGUGUUGCAGCAUCUCAAGUAAGUUAACACAUGCAUCACAGCAUAUUUGCAUGCCUCUUAGUUUUACAUUUUCCUUGAAGUCUUGUGCUACCUCAAAUGUUAACACCUGAUGAUAGCCAUGUUGCAACAUCUCAAGUAAGUUAACACAUGCAUCACAGCAUAUUUGCAUGCCUCUUAGUUUUACAUUUUCCUUGGAAGUCUUGUGCUACCUCAAAAGUCAAUGAACUUAGCAUGCUACCAAGAGUGACAUCUCCAAGUUAUGCAUCUUUCAAACAAUUUGGAACAAUAUUAGUAUAUUGUGUUAUCCGCUGUCUCAUAAUGUGACCAAGUCAGAAGCUAUGAAUAAAUGCAUUCUUGGAUUGAUUAUUUUCUUAGCUGCUGCUUGUUAAAGUUACCAGUAAUUUUUGGAGAACUAAAGAUCUUUGAAUUAUUCAGUGCCUGGAUGGCUUGACAACGGUCUACAGGACCUGUUUGUUGCUUCAACCUCUGCAUCACAGAACUUGAUAUCUCAGUGGAUAUAUACAUGUAUUUCUGUGCUGAUAUUGCUAUUACUCGAUGGGCAUAACCAGAUUAUCUUUUCCAGUGUUUGUCAUUUUGGCUAUUCACUGACAGAUAUAUAAACUUGCAUUAAUCUUCUGUCAAUGAUAUCAGGGAUUGAUAAAGAUAUGGUUUUAGCAACAUUUGUUGUAACCAGAAUUUCAUAUUCAGGUGUAUGGAUAUGCUCGAAGAUUUGCAAAAAUUGGAAUUCCAGAUGUUCUUGUGAAUGCACUUCGCAAGGGAGUCAGUUCUUCUAGUUUGCCCUCCGCAUGUGCUGCUUUAAAGGCUAUUGCUGUCAAUGUAAGCUUGUAGAAUAAAGAACUGGAUAGUCAAUUUUAUAUUUCCAAGUAUAUUAUAACAUAUCCCCGAUCCUUAUUACGGUGAGCAUGAAAAGAAAGCAAUAUUCAACAGAUGGAGAGUCAGAUUUGUCUGUGCUUAUGAUCUCCUCAAUGGAAACUUCUAUAAUCGUCUUUCUUUUCUACAGGAUGAGAUUUGCUUGUCUAUAUCUGAAAAUGGUGGGAUUGAGGUCACUCUCCAGUUCAUUGACAAAAGUGGUGAACAAAACAGCAAAGUUGUAGCGAGAGCUUGUUGCUCUCUGUUGUCUAAGGUCUGAUGCUUUACUAAAUUAUUAAUUGUGGCAUCAAAGGGAUUCGUGCUUUUCAUUACUUUUGUAACUGACAAGAAGUUUUCCUCUGUUUAAAGCUAGCAGGAAGUGAUGCAAACAAGACUGCUAUUGUCCAGCAGGAUGGUCUAAAUAGACUAAUUAAGUUAUCAUCCAGAUUUUCUGAAGAUCCGUCUGUCAUACAAGAGGUUUUAUUCAAUAAGCAUGACUAAUUACAAUCCUCAAUGGAACAAUCUCAGCUUUGAAACAACUCUUUAUGAUGCAGGUUAUGAAUGUUAUUACUGUCCUUUCACUGAGGUUGCCAGAAAAUGCAGCCCGUGCUAUUGAAGCAGGUGCCGGAGAUCUUGCAGUACAAGCGAUGCAAAAGUUCCCUGCUUCCAAUCAGAUGCAGAGGCAAGCUUGUCUCAUGAUCCGCAAUCUUGUGGUUAGAAACCCAGAAAACAGGUGUGCUUUUCCAAACAUUAGAAAAAUAGUUCGUUAGGCAUGCUUGAGAAAGUUUUCCUAAAGUCAAUCAUAAGUACCGAGACUGUGUUUAGUCCUGAUGAUAUUAUAACUGAGGCAAGUAGUUGUCCUUUAACAAGUCACCCAUCCUAACCUAACUUUUAUAAGAUUUUCCCAACUGCACAACGGUUUGAAACCUAUAGCUUAGCAAGUGUCAAAAUCUUCUUAUAGGACCAGCCAUGUGCUCCGUUGCUCCUUCCAAUUGCUUUCCAUUUUACUGUGUCUUUACAUUAGGAGCUGCAGAUACAAGUUGUCUAAAGAUGUACGUGAUGUCUCCCUAUUAGUUUUCUCCAUGGAGGCGACAAUGUUACGACUAGGGGCUUGCAUUUAGCUCCUCCUUUUCUAGUCAGGUUAGAUAAUCAACUAGGGAGAUUCAAAAUAAAUGAAUGAAACCCUUUCAAUGGUUCCAGAGAGAAAUCUGAGACGCACACCUGAACACCACAAUUGUGGAUGUAAGUACGGUAGAAAGUAAAGGAUCCUUUUCUGCAGUUCUUACGAAUUCAUCUUCGUCAUGUGUAGUUUUUGACAGUUUUAUGGAUCUAACUAAAGCAAUCUACCUUUGGCUGCAAAGCUGAAAUUUCCAACACAAACCAUGCUCAUGUACUCAAUUUUCUUUCAAUUUCCAACAUAAUCCUCGCUCAAUUUGGAUUCAAGAUGGCGGUAUUUGCUACACUGGCAGCACAAUAAUCAGUUUAUAAUUCUCUAAAUAGUAAAGUUGCAGAUUUAUCUUGAUUCAUUAACAACACUCACCUAAACUUAAAUUCUUCGAUAUUUUCUUUUUGACCUUUUUUUUCUUGUUGCCGCAGGACGAUCCUUCUAAACAAUGGCAUUGAGAAACUCAUUAGGAAAGCAAAGGGGACCCAUCAGAGUUGCAAGGAUGCUGCAACUGCUGCACUGAGGGAUCUAGGGUUGGACGACUACAAUGCGUAGUCAAGGUCUUAUGCCAAGCUAGAUUGUUUGUAACUAGUCGUUUUUGUCAAGGUGUCUCGUUGGUAUGUUUUUCGCAGUUUUUUAAUGCAGGUUUUAUUUACUGAAUGAUCCCUCAAACACCCUUGCAGGGCCAUUGAUCUAUUCUCCUAUUGAGAUGGAACUUAAAUCUUCAGAGGGAGUAUUAGUGCUAACUAAAAUUGUCAUUACUAACAUCUUUUGGAAGCAUUUUCAAGCUAGAAAGACAUUAGUCAGAACAGGAGCAGUUACAAUUCACUCAAAUGGAAGAAGGAACAAAUGGAAGCAACCGACCGUCCCUAGAGCAAGUGGCAAAGGGCUUGGUGGUCGAUACCCGAGAUCUAAGUUCGAAUCCUAGUUGAUUCACAUUUUCAGUUAAGUUUAUUUCUAAAUGAAAUAAACGAAGCGGAUAGCGUGCUACCUAUUUCUCAAAAAAAAAACAAAACAAAUGGAAGCAUGAAAUAAAUAGCGACAUAUUAAUUCCCAUGUUUCCAAAAGUUAAUUUAAGAAGAGUCAUUGGUAUAGUUCAUAUAUGGGACGACAUUUUCAGCUUCGAGCUGGUGUUGUGGCAAAAGCACUGUCGAUGGUAAUCACGUGAGCAUCCCCGGGGCACAGCGCCUACUGUACAAAUGGGAAUAAAGUGGGACAAAAAUUUUAUGGACAUCAUCUCUAAAUUAUUUAGUUUGGAAAUGAUACGGAUAGAAAUGGCGUGGCCCAUCCGACGAGCGUCCAUGGAACGGAAAGGAAAAAAAAAUUUGUGCUACAUGUUUUUACAGAGGGAGAGAGAAGGGAUACCUUGGAUGGGCCACGUGGUGCCCAUUCAUAUUAUCCCCAAACUAAUUUGGAGUAUUUUUUCCAAACUAAUUUGGAGACAUUCAUAUUAUCCCCAAACUAAUUUGGAGCAUUUUUUCCAAACUAAUUUGGAGACAUUCAUAUUAUCCCCAAACUAAUUUGGAGCAUUUUUUCCAAAUUAAUUUGGAGACGAUGCUCAUAAAAUUUUUGUCCCGUAAGGAGUGGUGUGGGUUUAUUAAUUUUGGAUGGAUUAUUUAUUAAAGAUUUUAUAGGAUAGGAGAUUUUUAUUUGUGCUGUGGUAGGUGGACCCCAUUUGAGACUGGGUAUUUUAAACAUUUCGCUAACAAUAAUAACUAAUGAUGAAGGUUUUUAUUUUAACGUCUAUGAAAUUAUCCAUAUAUAAUAAUUUAACAUUGGAAUCAAACACACGCAUUUCAUAUAGCCCUUUCAGUGCGUACUUUGUGACGGCCCCAAAAUAAUUCCAUACACUGGGUCCAAAUGUGGGUCCAUCUCUCCACUUAUUUUUUAUAUUUUUAUAUUUUUUUUGUUUUCUAGGGACCAUCUCUCCUUGACGUUUCCCUACAUUGUGUUCGGGUAAAAUGAGGUUGGAGCAGUGCAUCAUUGAAACUGCUCAAACAUGGUUAUUGCAUCUACGCUAAUUUAAACAAUGUAUAUUACAAUGAAAAAUAUAAUGCGCUUUGAGUAGCAUAUUAACUAGCACAGCUUUUACUUUUGUUAAAUGGUAUAUAAUUAAUCCAAAAAAUUAAGCCCAAUUUUAGCCCCACCAAUCUUUCUGCUUUUGCUUAAAAGAGAUAUUAAAAACAAUUUUAAUAUUACGCCAUUUCUAGAAGUAUUACUCAAACAAUACUUUAUAACCCGUAAUAGGAGGAGACCUCGUUCCCAGAACAAAGUAAAAUAAGGUUGCAUAAAAUAUUCACGAGUCUAUAGGUGUUGAAAUAAAGUAAAGCUUUGGCUUAAAAGUCCAGCAACCAAUAGUACAAUUUUUCUAAAACAUCAUAGCGCUGGCCAAAAAAAUAAAACGAGAAGCAAACAUAAAAUUCUUAGAAAAAGGAGGAUACCAGAGAUGAUGAAAAGCAAAACACAUCAAGUACUAGCAAAGUGUACAAAGGACAUAGAGUUACAAUAUGAUCCUGAUAGUAUAAUACUCACAUGUUCUAAAGUAUCUUCAAUAAAGAGAACCAGCAUUUGUUGAUGUGCAUAGUUUGGCGAUACAAAGGAUGAAGCAUCAUAAUUGUUAAGCCAUUAGGAUGGCCUCAGCUAACCUCUCAGGCUUCUCAAUUUUUUCUGCAUUAUUUGUAGUCCUCAUUUCUUCUCAAACUUAGUCCACAUCAUUUCCAGCUGCAACAAGCCAACCUGAACAAGGUAGAGACAGUCAAAAUAUGGCUUCUCUUGUCUUUUUUUUCGUAACCACAUUUAAGAUGGGUUAAUAUUAAUAUAAUAAAAAACAUAUUCAAGAUCAUAGACAAGGAUACUCUGUUGAGAUAAUCAACUAAAAUGAUAUUCACCGGCUCGAAUUGUACCAUCAAACCAUCUGCAGAACUAAGAUUUUAUCCUUCGGCCACAAAUUGUAGACACGUCGAACAUCGACAAAUUACAGGCCUCGACAAUUGGCAACUUGUGUAGUGCAGAUCGUAUAUCGAUCUAGGUGAAAUUGGCAUGUCUUACAGAGAUCGUUAAUUCCAAUAGUUUCGGUGCAUGACAAGCUUUAGCAUUUCCAUAAGUUUCAGAGACAAGUCGGUGAACAAACAUAGAAAGGACCUUGUAAGUUUGUAGGCGAUGCCCCUAUCGAGAAAGGGGUUGACUAAAUCUUACAUUAGUGUGAAAUAGCACGUGGAUUUUGUCUUGUUAUGAGAAGCAGCAUUAGGUUUUGCGAGAACCCCAAGAUCCAUGAAGAUCAAGUCUAAUAAAACAAUGGAUAUCCACAAGCAUAAACUUACCCUAACUUGAGAGAAGUGUCGGAACUGUCAUCAUAAUCUAACGAGCCCCCCGACUGUGAUGCAGUCAUCACUGAUUCAGCGGACAGCCCAUCUUCAGCGAGAGCAUUUUCAGAAUGAUUUAUCCCAACCCCGGAUACCUGGAGCAUCUGCAUAUUUUGAAUGUGCUCAUUUGAUGCAACCACAUAGGUUGAGAAGAAGACAGAAGAAAUAAAUUCGGAUGAACGAAGAGCAUAAACGAAAUCUUACUUGGUGUCUCAGCCGCGUAUUUUCUUCCACUAAAUCCAGCCCCUGUAACCACAGUUAAAAAAAAAAAGAAAAGGAAUUGAAAGUAACUUAGGCUAUUUAAUUUCAAUGUUUAUCUCUAUGAUUUUGUCACAUUUCCACGUGUUGCUAAUUUGCUAUACUGCUCAGUUUUGAGCUAAAAUCUCUUCCAAUCUUGUAAGAGCAAUUAUUCAAUCUCCACACCUCUGAGCAGUUAGCAAUCCUUCGACAAAAAUAUAACAAGUAGCAGGUUUACUUUACUUGUUUUCCUCUUUUUUAGUUUUCAAAAGAUUGUUUAUAUUUCUGGAGGCUUAAAUGUGCACCCUCCUGCUCUAAAAGUGAAGCAUUUGCAAACUAAAAGUGAAGCACGAAAAGCACUAUGUCAUUCCCAACCUUUUUCCGGAGAUCACUGAUCUGUUCCAUGAUUUUUGCUUCCUGAAAUUUAUUGACAGAAAACAUGCAUUAAAACUAAAGCAAUUUCCAGUAGAAAUAAGGAAGUGAGAGACUUGAUUAUUCUACCUUCAUGUCAAGGACGCGGUGCAGACCUCCUUCAAGCUUCUUCUCUAGCAGCUGCAGCUCUUCAACAGUCAACCCCUCAAGAUCCUCUCCUCUCAUUUGUCUGAAAAUAAAUCAAAGAUUUGUUUUUUUUUCUUUUUCAAUAUACGCAUUUAUGUAAAUACAUGUAGCUUAAACAUAAGAUUUAGCAAGCACAAUGUAUGACAAACCUCAGUUGAAGGCUUGUUUCUGCAACUUGUUUGCUCAAACUAGCAUAGUUGCUAUCCUCCAUCUAAAAAAUGGAUGAAAAUACUCAAAUUUAUCUUGUACAUUCAUCAAAUUUAGUAAAUAAUAGCAGCAAAAUUUUGUCUUCCCCAAUCUGCAACAAGAAUCUAACUUAUGACAACUCUGCUUGGAAAAAUCCAGCUAACUAUAUAGCAGUUAAAUGUAGUUGACUAUCAGUUAAUAAAAGAGUACGAAGUAAGUUAAUUAUGUGUAGAAGUAUAGAAGAAAUUUCAGCCUGUGUGAUGAAGUAGAGUUGAAAUAUGUCUACGGAUAAGCCUUUAAGGAGAAUGCUAUUUGAAACUUCGCAACAAACCAUGAAAGUUAGAAUAAAACUACUAAAAGAACACAUAGACUUUGUCUUAAAAGAAGGUGAAAAAUCUCCCAUAGUAUUCUUGGUUUACCUAGUAUUGCAAACGGCUUGACUGGCACAUAAAAGGUGCAUUUUAAGAGAUUUUUUUUUUUUCCUGUUCCAUUUUCAAAUCAAACAGUGAAAGUACAAAUUGAACUAUACAUACAAAUAAAAUGGACUAGAACAAACAAAAUUCUUAUAUAUCCUAAUUUGAGAUUGUGUCCCUGUAAUAUGCCAAGGUCAAAUCAGAAUAUAUAGUUGGGUUAGAAUACUAUUAAUACUAGAAAAAUAGUUGCUACUAUCAACUUUUUGGGUUUAGGCUUUGGUGGUGGUACUAUUAUGGAUCCAAGGGCCAGAAAGUUGAUAGUAGCAACUGCUUUACUACUAUCAAUAGUAUUCUCGCUGAACUCUCUAUCUCUCUCUAUAUAGAUAGAGAUAGAGGCUAGAAAACUUCUAGAAGUAUUAUAGAAGUAAGGCUAGAACAUUGUGUCGCUUUUACUACUAGAAGUACUCUAGCUAGCUCUAUAUGAGUAACGCUAGAAUACUGCUAGAAAUAAACUACACCGGUUUCUUGCACGUCGUUUUCGAUCAUGGGACAUCCGAAUCGAUAAUCAAUAUCAUUAAAUAUGAUCUAAACUAUUUGAAUAUUGUAAAAACUAAAUUUCAUAAUUUCUAAACAUUAUUUAUAUAUAGUGGUCAAAUGGUCUUAAAUUCACUGUAUUGACUCUUAACAUUUGUCAAUUUUGAGAUAGUUUGAAUACGAGACAAACACUGUCAUAAAACUAUAAAAUUCAAAAGCUAAGAAGUUUAAAUAAUGUAGAUCAAGUUAAAUGGUGUCAUUCAUUGAUUCGGAUGCCUCAUCGUCGGAAAUAAUGCGAAAAUAAACAGAACCAUUUACUACUAGAAUACUUAAACCCCCCCCCCCCCNCUCUCUCUCUCUCUCUAGAUAUAUAUAGAAGAUAAGUUGGAAGUUCUUACAUUCAGGUCAAGAGUGGGCUGAUCUGAUUUCUGUAAAUUCUUUGAAUGCAUACUGUGCCUCUUGAUGAUCUCCUUCAUACUUGACAAUGAAAAGAGAACAGAUGUUUUAACAAAGAAAAAGAUAAAAGAAAAUAAAGCAUCACAAAUAAAAGGAGCCAAGCUCGAGAGAACAUAUAGUACACAGCUGUAUUUUCAAAUGAACUAUAAAGUUACUCAUAAUGGUAAUUCCUUAAAUUUUAUAGUAUUUUCGUUUUGAAAAUUAUUUCUAAAGCCCUGGUAAAGCACGAUACUACACGACUUGGUAAGCGAGCAAGUAAUAUGGUGCAAAUAUAUGUUUGUGGUAGAAUAUGUUGGACUACACAGUUGGACUACAUUCUUUACAGUGAAACCUCUGAAAGAAGAUGUGAAACUUUUGUAAUCAAUCAGAAGCAAACUAUAAACUUCCUAAAAUGGAUCAACAAUACUAAGUACUAACUAUGACCCAAAGCAUUUAAUCCAGCUAGGAAUAAGAAAUCAUUUGAUUUGAAGGUUUUUUCAAUAUGCGUUUACAGCCUGGACUUAGCUGCGCAGUUAAGCAGGUUCAACCAUUGCUUGUUUAAUAGCCAAGAACCAUCCAAAUCUUAACAAGCUACCCGAUAAAACGCCUACAUCUAAUUAAUUUUGACUACCUUUUACAGUUCUAUGAAAUCUUAUAAACUUUAGAUAUUGUUGUCAUAAUUUGCAGUGUAUUGUAAAUAUGCUAUACUUAUUACAACAUGAUGUUAUUAUUGAUUAAUCGCGUGUUGCCCGAGUCAAAGCAAUAAUCAUUAAACCGAUAUGACAUUUCCAGGUCGCCAAGAGGUUUGGUAACUUUAAAAAACAUUGAUUUUGGCAAUGCUUCAAGUAGUAAAAAAUAAAAUGGAUGUAAUGGUUUGCAAGAGUUUACUAAAUUUAUGCUCUACAAAUAUCAAAGCUUUACAAAAUUUUGUUAGCAAGAUUGUUUAACUAGCAGCUUGAUGGCUAAAUAGUAUAAUUCAUAUAUAGUUAAUACUAUCUAGAUAACACAUAUAUGUGUAAGGCCAUUGUGUGUGCGUGUGCAUGUGUGUCCAUGCAUGAAUAUACACGUGCAUGCGUGUGUGUGUUUAUGCAAAUAUAUUUACGUACUUGUAUGCCAUUACUUUGUGGAACAUGGCCAUGCAACUGUACAGCUUAAGUUUAAGUCUUGAUAGCAACCCGCUUCGUGCAAAAUUUGCUGAAAAUGGACAAUCUUUAGAUACUACCUCGCACGCAUAUGCAUGUGCGCGCACACACACACAUGCAUAUACUAACCCUCAUAAUACACAAACUGGGCAUUGAACUUUCUCGAGUUCCUGACCAACUUAUUUUUAUUUUGCUUCUUUCAAUUUUCUUCACAUUGGUUCAUUUUACGUGUCAAUUGCUGUGUCAUAAUAUAGGCAGAGAUAGCAAUGAAUCAGGUGGCCCAAAAGCUAAUUUUGCUGCACUAUUCAAGUCCAUUUAUGAGACUAUAACAGUAUAAAUGAAGGUAUAUACGUACGACCCUUCUGUUCCUACUAAACCCUUAACAUUGAGGUACUAUUUUAGUGUUUACCUUUUUUAUGAUCUUCUUUGGCUUUGUGUUGAAUAGAUAAAGCCAAAUACAGAAUAAGGUCUUUGCCCAAGUGAUGCUGCUGUUAGCAAGAGGCAAAUAUAAUGGUUAACAAAUGGGUUGCAAUUUAGUUUGUAUUGGUUUCUUAUGGGAGAGAACGAGUUCCCUAAGCUUUUUUAAUUAUUACAUUUAAAUCCCUAAUCUUAAUAUUUUGUUAUAGUACUGCACUUAAAAUAAAAUUCCACCAUCAAGUUGGACAAAAUUAUCAAUAAUGCAAUCACCAACUGAACUACACUGUUAAAAAUAAAAUUCCACCAUCAAGUUGGACAAAAUUAUCAAUAAUGCAAUCACCAACUGAACUACACUGUUAAGUUCUCUUGGACUUUCAUAUGGCGAAUUUUGUAGAUUUUUUAAGCCAAUACAGCAAAGGAGGGUAUGGAUGCAACAAAAUGCAAAAGAUUAAGAUACAACUAGAAUACCGACCGUCCCUAGCGCAAGCGACAAAGGGCUUGGUGGUUGGUACCCGAGCUUUCAAAUUCGAAUGCUAGUUGAUUCAUUUCCAGCUAAGUUUAUUUUUUAAAAAAAUAAACGAAGCGGGUAGCAUACUACCUUUCUCUAAAAAAAAAAGAAAGAUACAACUAGAAAGAUUGAAGCAUGGGAACAAAAUAAAAUUUCUUAAAUUGAACCUGAGUUGAUUCGGAUUUAUUAAAAUAACGAAAAAAUUCUGCUCAUUUUGAGAGCAUAGAGUAAAAAAAUAUUUUAGCUCAUAUUUUGCAUAAGAAUAAUCCGGUACAAGCUAAUGAAUUACAGAAAAGCAUGAAAAUAAUUGUGCAUCAUUAAGUUUAAAUGAUCCAAAAGAUUGCAUGAAAAAAGGAAUAAGCAUUACUAUAAUUAAAAUGUUUUAUAACGCAUGACGAUCAGGUUUUUGGGUUGGAUUCAACCUUUGUCACCUUACAAGGAUUAAAGGUCAACACGAUCUUUAUUUCAAAAGGCAUCUCUAGGGAAAAUAAGUAAUUAAGGAGGUGAUUAAUUAAAGGGUAGCAUAUAUUUGUGCACUUGCUCAACUUAUGAGGGACCUUAAGCAUUCACAAUUUGAUUCCUUGAGCAAUCAUUAUCUGGUCUGCACAAAGGAGACAAUCGAACCAAUUGAUACGUUUCACAAUAUUCUGCAGUCCAACUAUGCCUUUAUUUACAACUAUCACAUUGACGACGGUACAGACUAUCAAAUCUUUGGCGCUAACCAUUAAUGUCAAAAACUUGAGCUGUUAGAAAUAAACAAUCAAUUUAUUUAAAGCGUACAGAUGCAGCGCCCACGGGUACAUUCAUUCUAAAGACUCUUUGAUACUUUCUAAUGCUUGCUUAAUCAUGACCGCACCUAGCGCUUCUUGGAGUGAUAGAUUCUCAGAUGUGUAUCUAGCAAGACAUUAAGGAAAAUGAAUAUUUCAAACUAGGCCAAUAUAUAUAUCUACUGAUUUCUAACAGCUUACAGGUAGAGAGGACUCAGCUUCUUUAUUUUCCAAGGAAGAGAAAAUCGAUGUAAACUAACAAGAAACAUGAUCUUCCUCAUAUUCAAAGUUAAGAAUAACUACUGCAGCUUCAUAUCUUUACAUGCUCAGCAAAAGAUAAUCAUUCUCAUAUUGUGAGAAGAAUAAGUACGAAUAGAUCUCCUUCAUUUAUAUAGAUCAUUUCAAAUCGUUUCCUACACUACAACCAAUACAAGAAAUAACAAUUACCGACAACACAAAUUCAUAAUCGACAGUUUAAUCUGUAGCUAGAAAUAAAAACCCGCUAGUAAUUUGCACUUCCUAUAUCGACGGCUUUAUUUCUUGCACUUUUUAAAAAAAAAAAAAUUUUCAUCUUGUUUAAUUAGCGGCAUCCCCAAUAAAAGGCGUCAAAACCCAUUUAUUCUCCACAGCGAUCAAACAUAUUCUGAUAUUCCCACAAUUAUUUUACAAAACAUCCCUCCUAAACAAAACCCUAAUCACACCAACGCCAACCAAAAUACAUCGGGUCGCUCACAAACAGUAACAAAGAUCAAUCUCAGGAACCAGAAACCAAAUCCGCACGCAUUAAUAUGAUAAUAUCAGCAUAUAAUAAUAGUGGCGACGAUGAAAACCGAGAAUACUUUUAGAGGCUUGAGGAUUUUUAUAUCUUGAGAUUAGAGGAAGACGAGAACUUACAAAACUGGAUAGCCAACGUAUGCAGAAAACGAAACCGGAUCACGGGCAACAUCGAUUAGCAAUACUGUAGUAGUAGUAGUGGGAGUAGUACCUGGAGCUGGAGAAGUGGAAGAGCCUGCCGGUGGAGGAGAAGACGAUGAGAGCGACCUCGGCGUCGCAGAGGAUGGAGAGCUCCUCCGCCUUCUUGAACAGCCCCCGCCGCCGCUUCGAGAACGUCACCUGCCGCGCCGUCGUGUUGUCGAUCUUCCGAAUCUGUAUCUUCUCCCUCGCCAUAAUAGUAAUAAUAAUAAUACCUUCUCCUCUCCUCCUCCUCCUGCAGCUCCUCCGCAGCUUCAAAACCCCCAUUUUUAUUUUCCAAAUGUCAAAUAAAUAAAUAAAUAUUUAUAUAUAUAUAUAUAUAAAAAUAAAACAUACAAAAAUAUAGAGAGAGGCUCCGGUACUAUAUUAUAUGAGCGGAAAGAAUAGGAGCGCGCAAAUAGAUGCAGCUCCUUUGGGGGUUUGUUUCCAAAUUAAGCAGGGGCGUAUCGCAAGCCCUAGGUCAUUCUAGGGUGAGAGAAAAGGAAUAAGUCACCAAUCGAAAUGGAAAGUGGGUUUGGAACUCGAGAUGAGUAGAAUAAUUAAUAAUAUUAUUUUAUGCAUUCAUUCAUUUAUUUAUUUACUAUUUAUUUAUUGGCUCACCUCGUGCUUCUUUGAUCCAAUGGGUUUCUGAGGAAGUGGAGGAGGAGAACAAUGGGGUGGGAUUGGGGAGGGGAGAGAAAAAGUGUGAGCGUGGAGGGGGUCGAAGAUGCGCCCCUUUUUAUGGCUAGGCCCAGGAGGAGCGUCGCCCUCUCUCGCUCAAUCACUAUUCCCUUUGCCCCCUUUCACCAACAAAGUUUGGGUGCACCGAGUUCAUAGACCGCCUCAGAUGAUUUUUUUUGUUGUUGUUUUUUGGAAAAACUUCAGAUACCACCUCCGUUGUUUCACACUUUCUCAUGUUAGUAUACUGUGAUUUAAAAUAUACUCAUUAUAUUAAUUUUUUGUUGAUUCAGUGGCAAAAUUAAAACUAAAGGGCACUAAAGUAAAUAUUCGAUAAACCUAGGUCGAGUAUCUGAAGUUUUUUUUUUACAUAAUUUAAUAAAAUAUUAAUAGAAGAGUCGAAGAAGAGAGAAAAAUAAAAUCAUAGAGUACUAACUGGAUACAUCUUAAAUCACAGGAUACUAAAACGAGAAAAUGUGAAACCACAUAGGUUGUAUUUGAAGUUUACUUUUUUAUUUUUUUUAUUUUUUGUUGAUAACAUCGCAAUGAAAAUUGAAAUGAAAUAUUGGAGAUCAUACAUUGAAAUGAAAUAUUGGAGAUCUUUGAUCGUAAAAAUUAAUAGUACAGGAAGUAAAAUAAAAAAAUUUGAAUAAAGGUUAAUAAGAACUAAUUUUGUAAUUAGACUAAAAAAUUAUUAAGAAUACAGUCCCUCGCUCUUUACGUACAGGGCAUUUUAAAAUGACUAGCGCAACUUUAUAAUUGCCGAACUUCUUUUUUAAUUUGAGUUUGUCAAGCACGUUAAGCCGAAAAUUUUAUUAAAUUUUAAUUACUCUAUUUGUCACUAAUUACUAUUUUUUUAUUUUUACUUACUAAAAAAGUUAUUAAAUAACAAUUAUUUAUAAGUUUUAUAAGCUAAAAAUCAGAUAAUAAGCAUACUUGGAAAUGUAAUUUGUACACCUAAAAAGUUGAUGUAGAUCUCAUGCCCUUUCAUCCAAAAGCCUAUUAUUUUUUUAGGUUGAUUUCAUAUAGAUCCCUCUAAAUAUAGUAAAUUACAAAUAUAUUCCUACAAAGGUCAACUUUUAUAUAUUGUUUCUACAAAAAUCUAGAUGUUUUCAAAUAUAUUCCUACCGUUAGGAUCCAUUAGAAAAUUAGCUAACAUAGGUAAAAUACUUAACCCUAAGGGUGCGUUUGAUUCGCAUUAUGAAAGAUUACUAGGAAUAAAAGAUAUCCGAGAAUCUUAUUCCUAUUCUUCCUAUGUUUGGUUCGCACGGUAAUAUUAAUUAGCCAUGUUAUUUAAUAUUACAAAAAAUAUACAAUUAAUUAAUUUAUUUAAUUAAUUAAUUUUAGAUAAUGUUACCAAAAGUUUCAACAUCUUUUUAUAAAAAUGGGAGAGAGAGUAUAAGUUAGAGAGAGAGAGCAUAAUUAAAAAAAUAGAAAGAAAAAUAUAGUCGAAAUUAGAGAGAGUGAGAGAGUUGAAAUUUUAGAAAGGGAGAGAGAGAAAGCUUAGUUUAGAGAGAGAAAAAAAGUUGAAUUUUAGAGAGAAAAAUAAGUUUAGAGAGAGAUAUAAGGUUAGAGUGUAACGAAAAAUAAUAUCAAUUAACCGGCGGGUAGAAAAAAAGAAAGAUAUUAGACAUAUUAUGAUUACCCCAAUCCAUUAAUAUGAAAAUACCCAUCCUCCCUCAAGGGAAUGAGAUUAGUAUUUUGGGAUGAAUCUUAUUUCUAAGUGAAUCCAAUAUUACCAACUAGAUUACUUAGUGCGUUUAACCAAACACCGUCAUAUUUUUUUAUUCUCAUUGGAUUACUAGAAAUUUUUAAAAGAUAGCGCGAACUAAACGCACCCUAAUUAGUUAAUAAGAUGAAUUGGCUUUUUUUACCCCUUUUCAAUUAAUAGUUGGAAUUUAGAAAGAUAUAUUUAUGUUGGCAAAAGGAUCAUUUUAUUUAUAAAAUAAACAGUACUUUAACGGUAAUAAACUAAAAAAAUAUAUUUGAAAAUAUUAAAAUUUUAUAUAAAUAAUACAUGAAAAUUAAACUUUGAGAUGGUCUAAGUACAUAAGAAAUAGUCCCUCUCUCUCUCUCUCUCUCUCUCUCAUGACUUUUACCAUUCCGUUGAGCCGCUUGUACAGCAGUAGAGAUGGUUACGCGGCGUCAACGGCAGGUGGACGGAAAAAGGACGGCUUUUGAAAAAAAAAAAAUCUAGAAUGUACCUUUUAUAUUAUUAAAAUAAUAUUUUAAAUUAAUAAAAUUAUUUUUUGAAUUUAUUUGAUCUAUCAUUAUUAAUAAAAAAAUAUAUGAUUCGCUUAUUACUUAUAAUAUGGUGUAAGUGUGACCGUAGUUAUUAUAGUAUUAUUUUAUAGUUUUCAUGUUUAGUAGUCCAAUGUUUGUCCAAAUUUUCAAAAUUAGUUUCAAAUUAAUUUCAUAUAAAUUUCGUACCGUACUUUUGUCGUGCAUUAUUCUAGGUGAACAAAAAUAUCUUGCUCUUCCAUGUUUCUAAGACCAUGUUUGAUCUAGAGCUGGAUAUACAAUAAAUAGUAGAGGAAUAAUGCGUUCAAUAAAUUUUCUUAAUUUUUGGGUGCUUGGAUUUCACUAUUUGAUGAUGCUAGUCAUAUUGAUCCAAAAACUUAAAAAGUGUAUAAUAAUACAUACCAUUCUUCUUCUAUUUAUAGUAUAGUAAUUCAAUAUAUUCAGAUAUUCUAUAUGGAAUUAGCAAAUAUAUGGAAUUAGCACAUACUCAGUAGAAUAUUGUCAUCUUGCAUAAUGGUGUAUAAAUAAUAUUUUAUUAUUACACUUAUAUUUAGUUUAAAGUUGAUUAUUAUUCUUUGUUGGAUCUACAUAAAUUUGUAUGACGUAAUAGGAACAACUAGGUACAACACAUCUAAAAUACUAAUAAUAAGGGUUUUUUUUUUUGCAUUUAGCCCCCUAAUAUAAAUUUAUUUUAAAAAUAGUUUCAGCAAAUUUAUAUUUGCACUUUUGGCCCUCAUUCUGCCACGCAGACGUCACGUCAGCGCCACGUGAGCGGGGCUAGGUUAGGGUGUUAAGUUGAACGCGGUGAACCAUUCACCGUAUCCAAAUACGAUAAAUAGUUUACCCUGUCUAGAGAAAAUACAAAUAUAUGUAUUUUUUGUAAUAUAAAUAUCGAAAAGAGAAAUAGGGGGUAGGGAUGUCAAUGGGUAUAGAUACCCGAAAUAUUAUCCGAAUCCAAACUCGAAUAAAUUAUUUAUAUACAUAAUUUAUUUUUAUUUAUUUAUACAAUAUAUAAAAUAUUUAAUAAUUUUUAUCCCUUAAAUCUUCAUCAAAUUGUAUGGAUUUCUAAAACCUGCCAGGUUCGGGUUCGGGUUCGGAUUUCGGGUUUUUAGUUAGGUAUGGAUAUGAGUAUGAAUUUUUAAAACCCACCGGAUUCGGAUCCAGAUUCGGAUUUUAAUUUGAUUUUCGGGUUCGAAUUCGGAUUUUUGAAAAGGAGAAGAAGAUGAAUAUAAAUAUGGAACGCGCCCAUGUGGCACUUGCGUCGCGCCUGUGUGGCAGAAAUAGGACUAUUUUUGUAAUUAUAAAUUUAUUAAAACUAAUUUUAAAAUAAAAUUGUUUCAGGAGGACGUUUGCAAAAAAAAAAGCCCUAAUAAUAAUAAAGAACACUAAGUCCUUUUGCAUUAUCAUAUGUCGACAAAUAUUAUGUGGAGAGCUUUAAAUAGUUUAUAAAUACAACAAAAAGUGCAUCGAAUGUUUGACGAUCGAUGCAUUAAUAAUUUAUGAAAAAAAUUUUACGAUUUUAUAAAAUUGGCCGGUAUAUUUUUAUCAUUGAAAUUUUUUUUUGGAUUUCUCGUAAACUGUCAAAUAUAACAUUCAUGAGUUACUUAGCUCUUCCUUUAUAUCUUGUUUGCUAAUUUAUUGGCAAAUUGUUAUGGCCUGCUAUGUUAAUUUUUAUUGGGUUUUUGGUGAUGUAAAACUUGUCGGGGCUCUUGGACAGCCCAAUAUAUAAUUGAUGAAUCUUACCUGAGAGUGCAAUUAAGAUUUUCAUAUAUGAGAUUUAGUUCCACAUUGAAAACUAAAAGUAUAAUAUUGUUAUUUAUAUACUCCUUUAUUAUUAAGUUAGUUGAUUGGGAGAAAAUUAGAGUUAUAUUUUCGACUAAGGGGCUGUUUGGUUUGACGUAAAAUUGCGAAAAAUAGUUUUCGAUAUGGUUAUUUGAUUGAAAAAAAAAGAAAAAGUAGAUGAAAACUUAUAUAAUAUAUUUUUUAUUAUAUAUAUUAUUAUUAUAUAAUAAAUAAUAUACUAUAUAUAUUAUUAUUAUAAUUUUUAUAUAUAGAUUAAAUAUAUUUAAAAUUAUAAUAAAUAUAUUACAUAAUAGUAUAUUAUAUUUAGUACUAUAAAAUAAAUUAUUAUAUAUAUAUAUAUAUAUAUAAGCACGUAUUUCAAAUUUCGGUCUGUCGACAGAUCCAUUUUUUAGCGGGAAAAAAAAUUGAUUCCUCUUUCUUUACGUAAAAUAAAUAACAGAAUUAAACAAACUGUUAUUUCCUCUUUAUUUCUACAACAGAAAGAAAUUUAUGCUUAUUCAAAUUUUUGCCAAUCGAAGAAUAUCUACUGUGAAUUUUUGUUUAAUUCUUCUUUAUCUCUAUCUGUAAUAUAAUAUUUAUACUAUCUAUCUAUAUCUAUAUUAUCUAUACUAUUUAAAAUAAAUUAAAAUAAUUAUUACGUGCAUUUGCACGUACGCUCAACUAGUAUAUAUAUAUAUAUCUCGCACACAUAAUGAAUGAGGGAGAGAGUCCACGGGUCACGUGGACUCUCCCUCACGCGGUCCACGAUGUGAAGUUCACCUCGUGGACUGCGUGCUCAAAUAUCCAUGCGUCGCGAUUUUUCAGGGUGAGUUUUUCAUUUUCCACUCGUCUUGAGCGGAAAACGAAAAUCUUUUGUUUUCCCAAAAUAUGUAAAACAAGUUUUCUGAAAAAAAAAAUUUACAGGUAACCAAACAACAGAAAACUUUUUUUUCAAUGGAAAAAAAUUUUUCGGAGUGAUUUUCCGAGGAUCCAAACACACCCUAAACACACGAGUACAAGUCGGGUCAGGCGGGCGGUGGCGCGCGCAAUCUAGGCACCUGAUUCACUUAAUUUUUGACUUUAUCUUUAUCUUUAUUCUAACCCUUCACGCAAUUGAUGCAUGGAAUGUGAACGUUGUAUCACUGAAAAUAAUGUUUAUAAGUCUCGCACGUAAAGGAGCAAUUUUGUUUCUAGAACAAUACUCUGCACGUCUCAAUCCACAGAUAUUUUCUAAUUAUUUUCUCUAUAGUACUUAUUAAUUUUUUUUUAAUUUUUUUUUUAAAUUAAAAUUAAAAUUUUGAAUUAUUUUCAAGAAUAUUUUACUACAAGACCAGAAAAAUUUUCCAACAUGCUAUUUGUCUCCGAUAACAUUUUUCAUAUAAGUUGUUAAUACAUUGGUACUAUAAUAUAAAAAAUUUUAAUUAAUUAAUUUAUGCCGUUAAAAAAAUCACAUAAAACAAGUAAUACAUUUACCUCAUAUUUGCUUAUUGGAUCUUCUCAAGUCUACUAUAAAUUGCGUACAAUGCUGAACUUUGGACAAUAAAAUUUUUAUAUUUGAAUAGAGGUAUACGAUUUACAGUAAAAUAAAUUAUUCCCUAUUAAACUGUCUCAAUAACACACUAUCUAUUUAUUUAUAUUUUUUAAAAUAAAUUUAAUUAAACUGAUCGUCCUUAGAGCAAGUGGCAAAGGGUAACGUGCUACCUAUCUCUCAAAAAAAUAAUAAUAAUAAUUUAAAAUAUCUAUUAACAUAUAUAAUUUUUCAAUAAUCUUGCUGAUGUGGCACAACCAUAUUACUUUAGAAGUUUUUUUUUUUUUAAAAUUCAGCCCAUGUUUCGUUGUAAAAUAAUUAAACUUUAAAAUUAGUCUUUACCGCUCCAUAAAAUUUCGAUAAGAAAUUUCUCAACAAAUCUGCACUCCAAGUACCACCAUCCGAUCCAACUUGAGACGAGGCGAAAGCGGAGCCGGCGGACAGCGGGUAUUCCCCUCUGAAAUUACGGAUUCACCUCAUUCUCUUUCACUCUAAUUUAGACAAAAAAUUUUAGUAUACAGCAAUCAUGCUAGAUAAUUAUAAUCAGUCAGAUAUUCCUUUAUUUGAAAGAAAAAUAAUAUAUAGAACGGAUGAAUUUAAAAGAAAUAAUUUAAUUGAUUGACGAUACCACAGUAGCAAUAUAAUUAUUGCAUUCAUUAUUAUUUAUUAUUAUUAUUAUUAUUAUUAUUAUUAUUAUUGAUCCCAGGCUAGAAUUUUGCAUGCUGUGCAUAUUUCAGCUGCUGUACAGUUACUGGGUCGGGCGGCUGCGCGGAGGCGGAUAGCCAACUCGUUGUCUGACUAUAAGAUGCUUGAUGUAUUGUCGUUGUGGAAAUCCUUUCAUGACAAGAACGUCCCUUGCGGUUGUUCGGAUGAUGAAGUUGGUACGCGUGUUUCCGGUGGAUGUGAAUAUUGUUGUCGAAAGAAAGAGUUUGUAAACAAAUUGGUAUGCUUUGGCCGUAUAGUUUUAGGCUUUUGGUUAGAGAUAGACUCUCGCUUUUUGAAGAGUUGUCGGCUUUGUCUAGUUUAGGGUAGAUGGACUCUAGCCUUGAUUUUAUUGUAGAAUUUUGCAGAUAAGUGUUUGACUUGCUUUAGUUGUUGGUUUGGGGGCGGUGCGGAGGCUGAUACUUAGCUCUCAUUUCUGGUUGUGAGUAAGAUGUUUGAUUAGUUUGCGUCACGGAAACCUUUUCAUGAACAAGAAUGGCUCUCACGUACAUUUGGAUGGUAAGUUGGAAUUCAAUGCUUUGUGUUGCAGUUGCUCCUGGAUUGGCAAUGUUUUUUUUUUUUUUUUUUUUUUUUUGAGAAAUAGGUAGCGUAUAAAACGCUACCCGCUUCAUUCAUUAGGGAGAUGAAUUAGGCUUACAAAAUGGAGACAGUGAGAGCCUCCGUAAGGGAGAGAGCGACAAAAGCGAAAAACAAAGGCAAAGACAAAGGGGAGAAUAAAGAAAAAAGCGAGAACGAAACCACGAAAAAAAACAAACUCAGCGUGGGAUAUUCCAGGUGGCCAGCAGAAGCUUUAUCUGUUCCAAGCACCGGAUAGGGUUGGGGGCAUAGUCUCGAAAGAUAAAAGCAUUCCUUUCCGUCCAGACUACCCACCAGAUAGCAGAGAGGAUGGAGAGGAAAGAAAGUCUCUGGUUGGCAUCUUUCAGACCAGAAAGUUUAGACCAGAGAUCUCUCACGUCAGUCGAGGGCUCAGCCAGAUCCCUUUAGCAGAGAGGAUUGGCAAUGUUACUUUGAUUCCGAUAGUUUCAUAAGUAUUUAUCAGUGUUGCCCAUUCAUGUUAAUCUUCUGUGUUGUCUUGAUCUUAUUCGAUCUUCUACACUUUACCGAUACACGUGCUGCACUUGAUUCAGAGCUACGAUUUGUUGAUUUAUUAAAUUAACCAAAUGGAAUUCUGAUGAACUGUAGUAACUAAGGAAGUGUUUGCCUAUUAUCCUAAGCUUCUUUAGUCUGCUUGUAGUAGUUAUAGGUUACAACCACUAUUCAUUCCUAGUUUUAGUUGAUUCUAAAGGGAUUACAGUCGGUAUCGGCAUAAAUUCUACAGAAACGAAGAUAGCAUCAUUGCUUAUCAGUUCAAGAAUCUCUGGGGGGCAGUUUUAACAUGAUUGUCCCACAUUCCAGGUCUUGGCUUGACUAGAUGAAAUCUAAACAGAUAAAGCAUGGUCAGGAAUCUCAGAAUCUGAAAGGCUUGUGAGGAUUUAGGCUAUCUUUUUGGGCAUAAACUCGACAAAAGGCCCUUGGAGCUUUCCAGUUGGUGAAUAAUCGUGGAGUUGUAGUUGUAUGUAUCUCCUGGAUGGGGCUCUGCUCCGAGGGAACAAAUCUGGUUUAGUUGAAGUAGAUGUGACCUCAGAGAGACCAAACUUGAUUGGGCAUAGUUAGAGCAGUUUCAGUAUCGUCCCUUUGCGGGAGACCUUUUUAUCUUCCUCUCUACUCUCAUCUUUUUGCUUUUCCUUGCUCUGUCGUUUCUCAAUGCGAAGAUUGAGCUUGGUCAUCUAAUGAGCCCAGCAAUAUAUAGCGACAAUUGAUGCGCUUGGCUACUGAAACAGAAGACAUAUGCUCCCUUACUUCUAUAUUUGUGCCUGUUUAAUUCGCUAAACAACUUCUAUUUACAAUUGUUUAAUUUAUGGUGUAAUGCUACCUUUUUCAUAUUAGUUUAUUCUAGAAUUUUUCUGCCAUGCUUCUCUCCCCAGAAAGAAACUCGUCUUGUCAUACAAAGUUCUGAUGCUGUGAGAACCUCUUGGGCAAUACCUUGGUUAAAUAUUUCUAUAAGAAGGUAAUGAUGGAUUGCUCAUUGAAUUCGCCACACAUCUAAUAUGGAAGCUUCUGAGCCACAUACAUAGAAAUUUCUUCUAUUUCUGGUUAAAACUAGUAUCUUUACGUAAAAUGUGGCUCGUCUCUGUUAAUGUUCAUCUAUUGCAGUUCGUUCUUGGAAUGUAUGUCUUGAUUGGUGUUGCACUAUGUGUAGAAUUUUGUUGAAUUCUUUUGUGAAUAAUAUGCAAGCUAUUGCAGUCGGAUUACAAAAACUCACCAACUGGAUUAGUAAGUGAUUAGGUUAUAAUGUACUUCAGCUCUGCAUUGUGGGUGUCAUCGGUGCUGGAUCCUUCUCACAUGCAACUUUUGAAAAAUUUAUCUGAUUGUUGGAUACAUUAACUUUUUAAUUAUGUAUCUUUUCGGUUCAGAAAGUUUAGAUGUUGACCUGAUACGGUUAUUGCUUUACAUAAAUUUAUGGGAUCUUUGUAACAACUGCGAGGGUGUGUAAUGUGUGUCUUGGUGAAUGUUGUUAUUUCCUUCACUCCUUAUUCUCAGAGUACUUGGUAUCAUUCACCUCCUUAUUGUUGUCUCCCUAUUGUUCUUUCCCUUGCUUAUGCAGUAAGGGGCCGUUUGAUUAAAUGUAAUUAUAAUGCAGUGUAGUUAGAGAUGCAUGCAGUUGGAAAUACAGUAGUUAUAACUAUAUGAAUCUUGCUAGGUUGGAUGUAGUAGAAAGCGCUGCAAGUAUAAAUAAUUUGUUUGGUUGCAUGCAGUUGAGAAAUAAUUUUUAAAAUUUUAUUAUUUUAUAUAUAUGAUGGUGAGAUUUACUCCAAUACAAAAAAGGAAAAUAAUUUUUGUUUUAAAAAUAUUGAGGAGGUAAGCAUACCUUUUAUUUAAAGUUACUCUCUCCAAUUGCUGUAGUUGGAACUACGGCCAAUUUGGGCGUAGUUCGAACUGCUGCAGUUGGGCUUCUUCUUGCAGUUCCUACUACAGUUGUUGAAGUUAAAUACAUCAAACCAAACACAAAAUUUGCAUUUACAUACAGUUACAACUGCAAUGCAAUUACAACUACAUGUAACCAAACGGCCCCUAAGUGUUGGUUAUGUACUGUUGUUAGAGAAGAGCUGACAAUUUUUCUCUGAAAUCUUGUUAAAAUCUUUCUGCUUAAGUUCCUGGGAGCUCUAUUUUUUCUUUUUUUAUUUUUUGGAUCAAGAAACUUUAGUUUUCCUUCUGGUUUGCUUAGCACGUUCAGUGAUCAGUUUCAAUACUCUUUUCUUUUUCUUUUUCUUUUUUUUUUAAAAAAAGUCAAACGGAUUAAGUUGAACUAGUGACUAGUUCAGGAUGACGUUUGGAAUCUAGUCAAGAACAAGAGUGCAUUUCUCAGUUUAUUAACUAUUUAACCGAGAUAACUAGAGUAAAUUCCUUUUUUUUGUUUUAAUAACCUAAAAUCCUAUUAAUCACUACCAUUAAUGAAUUUUUUUAACGUGAUAGAAUCUGAAAUUUAAAGUUUAAUUAUUUUUUAAAAAAAUAAAUAAAGUGGUACCAUGAUAUGAAAUAUAAAUUACAAUGACUUCACCAAAAGUGUUGGUUUCGUCUAUUAAUUGUCGAACCCGAACCGACUCUCGGGCUUUCGCAUUAGUAGUUGAAUCUGUAACAACCCUGGUAGAAGUAGUAGUAGUAUUAGUAGUUAGAUGUAGAAGAGGAGUAAAGGUAGCAGCUUUACUAGCUAGAAGAAGAAUAAGUGGCAGCAGCAGGUGGAGAGGAGGAGGUGCGGCAGGUGGGCCGACGAGAAGCGUCUUCGAAGGGCUCAGGCGAGCUUGACGGAACAGUCAGGCGAGAGGUGGUCCGGGCGGAGCUCUGGUAGGGACGACGGAGCUAGGGCAUCCUCAAAGCUCGGAGAGGGCGCUGGGAUGUCCGACGGAGUCCAUGGAGUUGGGGCGAAGAAGAGGACUGGCGGAUCGAAGCUUCAGGAUCUCGGAGCGGAGGCAAAACGCGAACCCAGUACCCGCCGGGUAGCGGAUGAUGCGGAUAAGGUCGAGCCGACGCCCGAUUGCCCGUUACAAGCAGCUAUGAACCGGAAAGCCCAGAAGAGGGCCCAACUACCCCGAAUGGCAGCCCAACCCGACAACAUCUUAUUUUGUCACUUUGUUGUUAACCCUCAGAGAAUAUGUAAUUUUCAUUUCAGUAUAGAACCAAAAGUAGUAUAAGUACGAGAAUGUUAAGCAUUACAAGGGUAGGAAUGGAAAUGAACUAGCUUGUCUUCUUCCCCAAUUAUCCUCUCUUUCUCAUUCCCCAAACCCUAUUCUAAUUCUUCUAAAACCCUAUCCUCUUCCUCCCAAUCUCUCGCCUUAUCUCUCUUUGUUUUCUCUACCUCUCCUUCUCUUUCACAAACUCACCUCCAAAUCACCCCAAAUCAUCCGGUACAUAACAAUUGGUAUCAGAGCAGUUUCGAUCCCAGGGAAGGGAUGAAACUGAUACUUGCAUCAUGGUGGGAUAUCACAAGAAUGGAGCAGUAAUGGAUCUCGAGUAGUACCUGGAGCAAGAACUGAAGCGGCUUGUAUAUUGCUGUUCUCGGUGCUUCUGGUCGUGGAUCCGAGGUAACGUAAUCGGUAACCGAGGCUAGAGGGGUAAGAAAAUAGAGAUAGAAAUUGGGAUUGAGUUAGAGGGAAGAGAAAUAGAGGUAGAGAGAUAGACAGAUGAGGAUUGAGAGGUGAGGGUUAGGGAAAAGAGUUGGGAUAGAGAUAAGGGAUAGAGAAGAAGAAGGGUUUGGAGAAGAACCUUUGGGGGAGAAAUAGACUAUUUCAUUUUCCUUGAUGAUCUUCUCAUUACAUUCUGUUAGCUAUAUAUAUUCCUCUACAACUGGUAUUGAAAUUAAAGUAAACUAUCCUAUAAGGGCUAAACAACAAUAUGUAAACUGGGUGAGAGCAGGCUGGGCCGCGAUUCACUCGCAGGCUGGGCCUCCGCUGGGCUUGUUCGGUCCGAAGUUGUCUGGUAAACGGGCAAGCGGGUUGCGGGUUCGCCUUCUCCGCACUAUCCAUUGCCGGCGGGUCUUGGGUUCGCGUUUUGCCUCCGAUCCGGAAAUCUGCCGAUCCGACCCGCAAGGCUUCCAUCUUCCCCAACCGUAGAUGCUGUCGGACCUCCUUCUCCCUUCGCGUUCCUCCCAUUUCCCCCACUGCCUCCGUCUACUCGCAGAUCGCCCACGCCGCCGAUCGCACCAUCGCCGCAAGGCUCAAGCAGGCCUGCGGCGGGUUCCAGAGCGCGGCCGGCGCCUUCGCUUUCUUGAGGGAGACAGUCGCUGGGAAGGCUGCCGCGGCCGCAGCGCCACCCUUCCUCGUCGCCCGCCUGAGUUCCGCCUGAACGCCCUUGCCGCCGGUUCACCCCACUGAGCUCGCUCCUUCACCAUUCUGCUGCUGCCACUUUUAUUCUCCAUUUUAACUAGUAAAGUUGCUAUUUUUACUAUUCUCCCAUGCUAACUAUUACUACUGCUACUGCUACUUCUACCAUUUAUUCUCCAGGGUCGUUACAAUCCCCUCCCCUUAAAAUCAUCCUUGUCCUCAAGGAUGGAACUUGUUGAACUGGUUUGGGGCUCUCAUUUGCUUCACUCGCGGCACAUUCUUCUUCUUCAGAAUUGUUUCCUUUAAGCCAUAUUGAAACCUCUGUUCUGUUUUCUUGCGUCACCUUGUGCUGGUGUGAGGUGUUUCCAAUUCGUGUCCACACUCGCCUAUCAUCUCUGGUUGGCAGCAUGGACGGCGGUACCUGUUGGGGCGAGGGCUCACCCUCGGGACCUUCAGGCAGUCGCAACCUGCACGCCGCCAGUCUUGUCUGCUCCGAGAUGUGGUAAAGUGCAAACUGACUCCAUGAUACUUAUAGCCUCAUAGACAUUCCCUUCAUUUACUUCUUGUGGCUCACUUGCUUCUUCUUUUGCUGUUUCAGAUUCAGCACCCAUUUCAAUCUUUUUCUGGGCUUGUAACAUAUGCCCUAAACGCCUACGCAGCUUCAACAAAAUUUGGAAGUACUACAGAAGCUGCCAAGAACAUAGCCCAUAAUUCUAAAGAAAACAUUGAUCAUGAUCUUAUAGAAGGGGCUGUUGCAAGUAAGCAGACGAAGACGCAAGAGCUAUGCUAUGGAUACGGAGAGGAGUAUAUUACAGGAAAGCCAGAAGCAAAGAUUCUGGCCCUCAGUUUGCAAGAAGGAAGCCAGGUCACAAAUUCUUGGCUGAUAACAACCCACUACCUCAACAACCCUGGUUGGAUCAAAUUCAUCAUCAGCAUCAACAGCAUAAGCUCUGGAAGCGAUCUAUUGGGCGUGGAACCUAUCAUCAUUGUCGCCAUCCAGUUCUCAGAUCGAAGUCAUCAUUGAAGGUUACGACUCAGCUCGGAACCAAAUCGGGCCUAGAUCGACCCUUGGUAGCACCUCAAUCAUCAUCGCAGCCAACCAAAUCUCCGAGAUUACAAUCGGCGAUGGAUGCUACUCAGAUUGGGCUGUUACGAAUUGGGUGCUACUCAGGUCGGGCUGAUUUGAAGACUGGGUUAUUACAAGCUGGAAAAGCAAAGGCAGAAAAGCGAGAAAUUGAUAACUGCAAAGAUAAACCUCCUUGGAAGAAAAUUACUGCAGAGAGGUCACAAGGGGUAAGGAGCAGGGGCUUAACUGAUGAAAAGCCAGAGAAAGCUUAUCAAGCAAGAUCUGAGGACUUCAGGGUCCACAAGUUAAUCCAAAUCUCUAGCCUGGCAGAAGCCAGCAUGGUGCGCAGCGUUGUGAAUGGAUAUAAGGAGCUUAGUUCUAUGCUUGAAAGGCCUCAUCCCUGUUCACUGGCAUUGGCUUAUGAACAAACCAAACAGAAAGAAUCCAAUAAAGAAUGGGAAAUUACACUACUUGCAGAAGGCAAAUGCAGGCCAAUUACCAUUUUUACGCCAAAAUGGAAACAGGAAGUGCAGGAUGGUGAUGAGGAAGGCUCCCAGGUCAAGCAAGUUACCACAGAGCUAAUAGUGUAUGCAAUCUCUAAACCCAAUUGUAACACCAAGCCUACCAACACAGCUCCAAGGAUAAAUCUAAAGCUUAUCUCAAAGUAUUAUGGUCCACUGAAGGUAUUAGAGAGGAUGGACAUGCAGUACAAGGAGCUAGGGACUGUGCUUAAGAGGCCUCACCCAUGCUCGCGAUUUCUGGCCUAUGAACAAGACAAGCUACAGGAAUCUGAUAGAAAUUUGGGUGUUACCUUGCACAUAAUAGGGGAAUGCAAAGCGCUUACCAUGAUUAUAUGCAAAUGGAUGCAAGCUGUGCAAAAUCGAAGUGAAGAAGACCAUCUGUUAACUGAAUUUCAUACUCCCAGGGCGUGGCAAGUUGAUAAGGGAAUUGAACAGUUCACUCGAUGGUCAGGAAUCGAAAGGGAUGUGCAUCAGUUAGUGCCAAAAUGUGAAGUUUGCUUAAGAGCUAAGGGAGAAAAUAGGCCCACACAUUGCUACAAGAAGUUGAAACCUGAAGAGUGGUGGUCCUACACCAGAUGCCAGUUCUCAACAGGAGAGAGAGUUUUACAGGGUAAAUAUACCUAUUACCCUCCAACUAAUGCCUCGAUUACUAUUGGAAAUAUUAUGAAGGACUCAAAUUUGAGUUGGUUCAAGCGAAGGGGACAAGUACUAUACAUUUUUGAAGGGCAAUCAAAUAGAGCACAACAGAGAACACAUAUCAUGCUGAUAGAAAAAGGAGUAAAAGUCUCUCUAGGAGAAGACAUGUACACUGGGAGUCAAUAUUCCACAAGCAACAUAGCGGAGCUGACAGAAGGAGUCCAAAACUCUAGUUGCAUUUCUUUGAACCAACCCAGUUUUUUGACGAGGGGAGACCCGGCAGCGCGCAGGUUGCGACAUCCUGAAGGGCCCAAGGGUGAGCCCCUGCCCCAACAGGGCCGCCGUCCAUGCUGCCAGCCGGAGGAGGUUUCCAAAGGUGGCUUAAAAGAAGCAACUUUGAAGAAGAAGAAUGUGCCGCUGGGGAAGCAAAUGGGAUCCCCCAAACCAGUCAGCAAGAUCCAUCCUUGAGGACAAGGAUGAUUUUAAGGGGAAGGGAUUGUAACAACCCUGGUAGAAGUAGUAGUAGUAUUAGUAGUUAGAUGUAGAAGAGGAGUAAAGGUAGCAGCUUUACUAGCUAGAAGAAGAAUAAGUGGCAGCAGCAGGUGGAGAGGAGGAGGUGCGGCAGGUGGGCCGACGAGAAGCGUCUUCGAAGGGCUCAGGCGAGCUUGAUGGAACAGUCAGGCGAGAGGUGGUCCGGGCGGAGCUCUGGUAGGGACGACGGAGCUAGGGCAUCCUCAAAGCUCGGAGAGGGCGCUGGGAUGUCCGACGGAGUCCAUGGAGUUGGGGCGAAGAAGAGGACUGGCGGAUCGAAGCUUCAGGAUCUCGGAGCGGAGGCAAAACGCGAACCCAGUACCCGCCGGGUAGCGGAUGAUGCGGAUAAGGUCGAGCCGACGCCCGAUUGCCCGUUACAAGCAGCUAUGAACCGGAAAGCCCAGAAGAGGGCCCAACUACCCCGAAUGGCAGCCCAACCCGACAACAUCUUAUUUUGUCACUUUGUUGUUAACCCUCAGAGAAUAUGUAAUUUUCAUUUCAGUAUAGAACCAAAAGUAGUAUAAGUACGAGAAUGUUAAGCAUUACAAGGGUAGGAAUGGAAAUGAACUAGCUUGUCUUCUUCCCCAAUUAUCCUCUCUUUCUCAUUCCCCAAACCCUAUUCUAAUUCUUCUAAAACCCUAUCCUCUUCCUCCCAAUCUCUCGCCUUAUCUCUCUUUGUUUUCUCUACCUCUCCUUCUCUUUCACAAACUCACCUCCAAAUCACCCCAAAUCAUCCGGUACAUAACAGAAUCUAAAUAAUCUAAUCGCCUCAGCAACCCUCAGAUUCCGUCCUCCUCCCGCUCCGGCGACGGCGAUGGCGGCGACCCCCGCCCCUCCGACGGGGCAAAACCCUAGCCUGGACGCGGCGGCGGCGGCGGCGGCGGCGCUUCCGCCGCCGCCGGGGACGGACAUGACGGGGAUCUGCUUCCGCGACCAGCUGUGGCUCAACACCUACCCCCUCGACCGCAACCUCGUCUUCGACUACUUCGCCCUCUCCCCCUUCUACGACUUCUCCUGCAACAACGAGACCCUCCGCGCCCGCUCCAUCCACCCCCUCGACCUCUCCCACCUCUCGUACGACGCCGAUCCCCCUCUCCCCCCUUUCCUAGGGUUUCUUUUCUUAGGGUUUCUUGUGGUGGCGGUGCAGGAAGAUGACGGGGAACGAGUACAUGCUGAGCGAGGUGAUGGAGCCCCACCUGUUCGUGAUCCGGAAGCAGAAGAGGGAUGGCCCGGAGAAGGUGACGCCGAUGCUCACGUAUUACAUUCUCGACGGAUCGAUCUACCAGUCGCCUCAGCUUUGUAACGUUUUCGCCGCGCGCAUUGUGAGUUCCCCCUUCCUCAAGAGAUUUUCUAAGAUGAAUGUGUAGUUGUUACAUGUGUAAAUUAAUUCUAUUGUGUCAAUCACAAUGUUGAGAAGCUCAAUAAUUAGGGUAAAUGAUGAGGAUAGAGUAUAGGGAUUUUCUUUACAGCAGAAAAUGGCUUAAUUCAGCUAGUGGAUUACUUGAUUGAUACUAGAAUGAGUUUUGAUUGAAGAAGCUAAUAACCUCGUUUUCUUGAGAUCUCUACUACAAAAGCUUUUUUAAUAAGUUUGCUAGUUAACAGUACUGUCCUUUUUAGAACUCCGAGGUAAAGCAGUUAUCUUUUUCCAGUUUGAAAGAUGAUUGAAGGAAACUUGGGAAUGAGCAUGACUUGAUAGUGUUUGAACUUUGAUGAUCUACUUACUAUGGGAAAUGCUGCUAAUACUUGGGAAUCAACAUGAUUAUGCUUCGAUUGUUGUUUCGUUGCUUUUAACUAUCACAUUAUCUAAACUCAAAAAAACUGUGGAAGUCUUCGAGUAAAGUGAUGCGAUCGGCUGUUUGAGUGUGAGCUGUGGUAGAGUAACAGCGUUACUAUGGUGCUCGGAAUAUCAUUUCUUUAUUUGUUUGAGCUCACCCUCUGAAAUCCUUCCUAUUAUUUUAUGAUGAUCAGCAAUUGCAUGUUGCAGGGUAGGGCUCUCUAUCACAUAUCAAAAGCUUUUAACAUCGCAUCCACCAAGUUGGAAAAGAUUGGACACGGUAAUUGUUUUCUGAAGUUCUUUUACUUGCGUAGCGAAUCUUUUGGGUAAUAUGGAAUUUUUUAGUUAAAAUGCCUGGUGCAGAAAAUGGUGUGCUAUCUAUUCACAAGGGGGUAAACUGGCUUUUAUGCAUAGAAAUCUUUUUACAGAUCAAGAUGAGUGCCCAGUGAACGCUUUAGUGAGAACCUGAAAUAAGAGAUCGAGAGAGAGAUCUAACAAACUAUAUUAUCACUUUGAGCUUCAUCUGACAUUACUUAUUUCAGAGGCUUAUACAUUAUAGGGUUAAAUGCAUACAGGUCCCUGCAAAUAUAGUCAAUUGCGGAAAUAUCCCUGCAAAACGGAAAUUCCAUAAGUUAUCCCUGCAAAAGUCUAAAGUUAUGCAGAUAUGUCCCUGCCGUUAAGGACUGUUAGAAAAUUUUCGUUAACCACGGUUAAAGUACUUAACCAUGGUUAAUUAUAAGGUAAAUUUACGAUCCUACCCUUCUUCUUCUUCCUCAUCUUCUUCUUCCCUUUUCUUCGUCGCCGGCGAGGGCGGCGGCGGCAGCGACGGCGGCGACGACGGCGGCGACGGCGAACCCUCUCUCUUUCUUUUCCUCCUUCUUCCUCUCCCUCUUCCCUUUUCUCCCUUCUUCUUCCUCUCCCUCUUCCUCUUCCCUCUUCUUCAUCGUCGGCGAGGGAGAAGAUGCGACGGCGGCCGCGAACCCUCUCCCUCUCCCUCUUCUUCUGCCUCUCCCUCUUUCUUUUCCUCUUCCUCUUCCUCUUCCUCUUCUCUCUUCUUCGUCGCCGGCGAGGGAGGAGAUGCGGCGGCGGCGCGCGGCGACGAACCCUUUCCCUCUUCAUCUUUCUCUUCCCUCUUCCUCUCUCUCUUCCUCUCCUUCUUCCUCUUCCCUUUUUUUCUUCCUCUUAUUCUUUCUCUUCCCUCUUCUUUGUCGCCGGCAAGCUCGACCUGCGCCGUCGCCGCCAUCCGCUCCGGCGGCCCGAAGAGGAAGAGGACGAGAAAGAGAGGGGGAAGAUGCUUUUGGAGGGAUAUAUUUGUGAGGGCAAAAUGGUCAUUUCAUAUGAAAACUGUUAAAAAAUAAACAGUUCUCUAACAGAUGUUAAUCAGAGGGACAUAUCUACAUAAAUUAGGACUUUUGCAGGGACAACUUAUGGAGUUUCCGUUUUGCAGGGAUAUUUCCGCAAUUCACUAUGUUUGCAGGGACGUGUAUGCAAAUAACCCUACAUUAUAUAUUCUAGGCUAAUUUUGUUUCAUUGUUGCAACUGUAUGGCAUUAGUGUUGUUAAGAUUCAUUAUUUCUCUGUGACCCACUGGUAAUUCGAAACUUCAAAAUCCAGUUUAUAAGGCUGGGGCGCUUUUAGAAGCACUAAGCCCCUGAUAUGUUCUACUUAAUAUUGAUGCUAGGAUUUUUGAAUCCCAUUAGACUGGUUUUGUCCUGUCUCCACAACGAACUUGUUUAACUGGUUUUGUAAACUUACAAAACUAUUCCCACAGUAGCCGAAAAUUUACACUUUGUGUGUCGCAGCUGAAGCUGAAAGUGAAGCAGCCAGCUCGGAAUCAAAGACGACGAAGGAGACAAUCAACAUAAAGGAAUUAAAGCGAGUUGAUCACAUUCUUGCUUCGUUGCAAAGGAAGGUAAAAUUGAUUUGUGCGACGAAGGUAUCUUCAGUUGUGCACAAAUAGUUCGGUUGAUGUAGGAUGAUAAGAAAAUAGAGGUCCGUACAUUCAAAAUUGAUUGCGGCUCUUGAAUCUUACAAAGAAAUCCUUUUUACAAAAGAAAAACAUUUUCAUGUGUACCAUGGAAGCUAUUGGCGACCGUAUGAACUUAUUAUAUUGUUGAAACAUUUUUCAAUCAUCUUGUACUUUACCUAAAGUUUCUAUUAUCGGGAAGCGAGGAUUUUAGUUCCAUUUUUUUUUCUCCCUCGGUGCAGCUACCUCCAGCCCCUGCGCCACCACCAUUUCCAGAGGGCUACAUGCCUCCACCAACGUCCGAACCCGAGAAAGGCCCUGAAGAUCAACAAUCCUUGGAGACGCAGCUUCCGCCACUGGACCCAAUCAUCGAUCAAGGCCCGGCCAAAAGGCUCAGGAUUCAGUAACACAUUGUUGUACAUGAAGCGGCGAUCCAUGUUAGAAAUUGAUUUACCUUGUCUAAGUAAUUUCCCUAUAACAAGUCUCAGGAUUCAGUAACACAUUGUUGUACAUGAAGCGGAGAUCCAUGUUAGAAAUUGAUUUACCUUGUCUAAGUAAUUUCCCUAUAACAAGUCUCAUAAUUCAUACAAGAUAACUUGACAUUAUCCUAGUGGUCCUCAUGUUUGUAUAUAUGUUAGGGUAGACCUCAUACAUGCAUACAUAUUAGGAUGCUGAGUUAAGUUCUAUUUUUUUUUUAUUUUCCGUUUUAGUGCGAGAAGUUUCUGAAUUGUUAUUGACGUCCCUCUGCGAGUGGAGAAAGAUAUAGACAGCAAUCAAGUGGGAACUAAACUAUAGCUGGUUGUGACCAGUUGUUGCUUUUCCCCUUUCGUUUGUUUUUCUUUUUCUAAAAAAGAAAUUGUGCAUGCGCUUAUGUAAAAGCUUUACUAUGGUUGAUACGAAAGCUUGAUUUAAAGCAGUUCUGACCAACUUCCUUUGCCAAAUUAUGUUGUGCUCAGCCUAAUCGGAUGGCAAACGUUUUAAUUGAGCUUUGAUUUAUUCCGUUUGGUUUCUUUUCGCCAAGAAAUCUGACUAGGUAUACUAUACGACCAGGCGGCUGUUUCGAUGUAAGAUAAAUGGAUAGAGAAGCGAGAUAAUUAUUGUAAUUGACUAAAGAGUUUUAAAAGAGAAAUAAAGAGAAUCGGAGAACGGGUUAAGGUUACUCCAUGAGCGACACGCUAUUUGAUAGCAGUGGAGACGAACUGAAGGGGGAAAAAAAAGAGAAAAAGAGAAUAUGCAGGGUUGAUUUAAAGAGAAAUAGUCCGAAGACAUUUACGAGGAUUCACAUAAAAUAUACAGGAUUACAACAUGCAGAAUACAAGUUAUACAACUGCAAAGGGGAUGUUUUAAUUUAAACCACAGAAUUAUACCCAGAACAAAUUUUAGAAAGAAGGUAUAACUAUUGCCCACAUCUGGCUGAUAUCGAUCCCUACUCCCGGCAAUGAUAGAGUCUGGAUGAAGAUGGGCUGGACAGGUUGGUCAACAGGCGGAGCGCCGGACCCGGUACUGGUGAUAAAGUUCUUACAUUUUUAGGACCACAAACAUCGAUCCUUAAUGGCAUACUUGCUACCCCCCUCUAAUCCUUUCCUGUACACGAGGGUCCACUUCUCAAAGUUGCAAUUGACAAAGUCAUAGUAGCCCCCAUGCAGCGCGAGGGCUCCCUCGGUUACCCUUUUCUCAAUCCACGGGUAUGUUAGCAAGUUCAGCAAUGACCCAUUGAUUGAUUCCUGCAUAGAGAAUAACACUUUUCUGCAAAUUGGCACUGAACAGAAAGACAGAGUUGGAAUUGCAUGCGUAGGCUUAGUUUGGUUGAAAGCAUCAAAAAAAGCAUUCAGCAUAGAUGCUAUAUAUUCAUAGGAAGUUCCCUGUUUCUCAAAUCACAAGAAACAUGGACGUUGGCCAACAAACCUAACCAGAAACUGCUUUUAUUUGCAAAGGCAACUUGCCACUCUUCUAUAGAAUUAUAUUAUUAUAUAUAUAAAGAGAUAAAAUAUGUGUAGGCAACCAUAUCUAUCUGUGUUCCUCCUUGUUGAAAUCUAAACAAAUUUAGGACCAAAUCUUUAUAAUACCUAUAUCCUAGACGAAAUGAUAAAUGAAGAGAAAAAUAAUACAAGUAACUUGCACCUUUGUGUCGUCAUGUUCAUACAAACCUAUGUCUUAGUAAAGGAAGAGAGGCAAUACCUUUUCACAAUGCCUGCAUUGCAUUUCAAAGCUCUGACCCCCUGCUGCAGCUUUGGUGCUUAAUCUUGCACUCUUCCCAACUGAAACCCAAUCUCUGAUGAAGCUCCUGGUGAAAUUAAACCACAAAUGCAAACUAUGAGAAUAGCUAUAAAAGAAACCAGACAAGGAAAAGCAACGCAAGUGGAACCAAACUACAGAGAAAUAUGUGUAGGCCUGUAGUUCUUAGUUACCUCGACUCAGCAUUCUCUUUCAUACUCAUGAGAGCCUGAAUGCCCCCACAACGACUAUGACCAAUGACUAGGAUAUUUGGAACCUACAUAUAGCAACAAUCUUUCCUUCUUCAGAAUAAAUAUUGCCGUAUCGUGCAAAUCGAUAACAAUUCAAGUGAUGCUAUUAUCAUAAUAAAUUACUUGCCUCAAGAGAAUUUACAGCAAAUUCAAGUGCCGCAUUAGUUUCUGAGGCCCCAUGCUGCAAUGUGAUAUGAGUUCAUUAUUCAGUGAAAUUACACAUGCAUGAUUUUAUUGCAUACAAGUUCCACCAGCAUACACAGAGUACCUCAAACGGUGGAACCAAGUUUGCUACAUUCCGAACUGUAAAUGCUUCUCCAGGUUGAAACCCCAAAAUACUGGUAGGACAGACCCUAGAGUCUGCACAUGCAACUACCAUGAACUGCACUUAAAAAGCGUUAGUCGGGAAAGAAUACUUUAUCACUUUAAAGAUGGAUGGCCAAAAACUUGUGAAAUUUAAAAAGUGAAGGAAUGGCAACAGAUUGUAGUGGUCCUCGCUAAGCUUGUCUUGAACAGGCAUUAAAUUUUGGAUACUUGAAAUCACAAACAGCAUAACAUCUUGUCAGAUUUUUUAUAACCAAUAUAUAUUAUGGUUGACUACUGAUAAUUUUACUCAAAAAUGAUUGGUUUGGGUCAGGGUAUCGAGCUCAAUUGCUACUGGUUAAGUUUUAGAUCACAAAUUGACUACAGACCUCUAAGCGUAUUUAUAAAAGUAACAGAAAUGAAAAAGUCAAUACGAAGGUUGGAAAUAAGCACCAGGUAUACAGUCAAAAUAAAAUAAAAUGUUAAUGGAAGAUCCGCCGAGGAUACAUAUUAAUGACGAAAGUACCAAAACAAGCAAAUAUGGCUAAGAGGCAAUUGGUAUCUUUGAGACAAAUGAUUUUAGUUUGCUAUAUUACCUUUGGUGCUUGCUGCUGAGCAAGAUUUUGAUAAUUAACCAGGUUUUCCCUGUUCAUGAUACAAUCUCGAUUAAUCAAGAGAACUCGUGUUUCCUUUUCAAGCAAAAUAGGAUAGCAUGAGACUCAUCUUACACAUAGUUUCGCCUUUUGAAAUCCAGAAACCUGUACUCCAACUCUUUGAAUGGAUCAAGCACUGUAUCUCUCUCAGCAAAUCUUUGUUCACUAUCUAUGAUUUCUUGGCUCAAGCCAAAAGGCUCUUCUGAAGCCUCUGUUACAUAAACUCUCUUCCUGCAAAUAGAUAUAAAUAAAUCUUACCUUGUACAGAAUGUUCAUAACAUAAUUAAGGAAACAAAAUCUCAUAACUACGAUUCAUAAUUGCUUCCACAUAAAUGAUGCAUCACAGUGUGACAAACUUAUUUAUUUGGAAUCCGCUGAAUUCAUAGAUCCAGCAAUUGAGAAAUUUAUACCAUCCAAUUCCAUCUUUGUACAUCAAAUUGAAUUAUUUGUAUUUAAAAACAGGAGAGGACAAGCUUACUCAUUGGAUCUCAGGAUCCUGAGAUAUGCAUUUCGUGGUCUCCGCAGAAUCAACGGCGAAUUGGAGAUCUAAUAUCAAAAGGGAAAGAAAUUGAGCUCGACAAAAGAAUCGCACCCUCCAAAUAAGAAAGAGCGCGAGAACGAAUCGAUCAGAGGAGCUCACCUUGAGAGCUCUCACAGAGCUCGCGGAGAACCCGGCGAAUGCUUCGUGAUCGGAGGUCGAAGCGGUGAGGUUGAGGCCACAGGGCAAAGGAGAUCGGAGCAAAGACGCCAUGGGAGGAGCACGGGGUUAAAUUUAGGGUCUGAAUCGGAUUUGGGAUCUAGGGUUUCUGAUCCGUACAUUUGAGAACGGGGACGAGGAAGAAGAAGAGGAGGAGAAGGGCUUAAAGACAUUUACGGCGUUACAAGAGACGGCGAUUUUGACGGAGAUUACGAGGCGAGCGACGUGCCUUGCAAACGCUCUAAUGGCGGAGUCUACGAGGGUGGAAGGGAUUCGAUUUUGCUCGCAUACGAGUUUCUAUGCGCGAAAUAGAUCUUCCGUCCAUUCUCUCGUUGAGUUCAUCACAACCGUCAAUUGUGUCUACUCAUAGUUUAUGAUGGUGGGACUAUCCGGAUGAUCUAUAUCCGUUCACAUCAGACACGUGGCUUCCACUAGGCCAAGCCAAGGAAGCUGGGACAAGUACAAUGAUUAAUCAGGUGUGUUGCACCAAACAGGAAACACUAGUUUCGACCAAUAAAGAAGAGCCACGUGGGAGGGAUUAAUGUCGUGACCUGUUUUGUGCUUUGUACGGAUUAUUAUAUACGGGUUUAAUGCCAGGAUAAUGGGAGUGCGUUGUCAAUUAAUUGUCACCUAGUAAGCUCGAUGUUAACGACACGUGUCCGCCAAAUUAGUCUUUUAUUUUUUUAAAAAAAACUUUAAAUACCACCCCCAUAGUUUCACACUUUCUUUCUCACUUUAGUACUCUAUGAUUUAAAAUAUAUCAAUUUAGUAUUCUGUAGUUUUAUUUUUAUCUUUUUAUUAUCAUUUCACUAAUUUUUUUUGUUAAAUCGGCAACAAAAUUAAAACUAAAGAGUAAUAAAGUGAAUAUUCGAUAAACCUAGGUAGGAUAUCUGAAAUUUUUUGUAUAUAAUUUAACGAAAUAUUAACGAAAAAACUGUCAAAAAAAUAAAAAUGAAACCAUAGGGCACUAACUUAAUACACUUUAAAUCACAUAGUACUAAAGUGAGAACAUGCGAAACCACAGGGAUGGUAUUUGAAGUUUAUCUUUUUUUUUUUAGCCUUUUUAAGAAAAAAAUAAUAUGUCAUCAUCCUUUUUACCCUUUUUUUAUGAAUUUAAUUAGAAAUAUAAUACAAUUAAGGUAAAUCUCAAAUUUGAAAUUUUAGAUAUUUAUUAUCAAUGUUUUUAUUAUAAUUAGAUUUUUAAUGUUUGGUAUUUAUUUUGAUCAAGUUUUUAUCAUUUAGACUACUGUUGAUUCUAAUAAUACACAUUAUUACUUAUUAAAAUUUUGAAAUUUAUGCGGCACCAAAGUAGUUUGAUUAGAUUAAUAAUAUUUUUAAUGAUAAAAAUUGAACGUAGCUUCGGGUAUUAUCAUACACAAGAUUUUUUUUUGCGCCCACUAUUCUGCAAAUACAAUCAUAUAUAAUAUAAUUAAUUUAUGUAAAAUCAGUAUAUAAGAUUGAGCUAGAUAUAGAAAAUGUGAGCUUUGUAGAGGGACAUCUAAAAUCUAAAAUACUUUAUAAAUGUAGUUUCAAAAUCGGAAAAAUUUUGAACCCUCAGUCUCUAAUCUUCGGUGACUCUUAUUCAAAUAUAUUAAAAAUAAUAUUACAAAUAACUAGUAAGAUAUGAAGAAAUAUAACAUUCACUAAUAAUUGAAACUGUAAAUUAAUUAACUAAUUAGAUAUUCUAAACGCCACUUGUGCCCCAUGUUUGAACGGGGCCAAGUUAUUUGAAACGUUCUGUUUUAUAGGAGGAAUUCUACAUUAUCACACUUGCACCAUGUCAUCAAUAACAAGCCCAUCACAUUCCUUCUUUUCAACCAAAAGUAUAAUAAAAAUAUUUUUUUACAAUCAUGAUGGGACAUAUACCUCUAAAAGGAGAUAUUUGAUUGAUUUGUUACGCCACGUCACCAAUAUACCCGUUGCAUUCUAGAAUUUUUCAUUGUAUAGAGCUGAUGUCUCUUAUAUACGGUAGAUAACUGUACAAAGCAGUUUUGAGAAAGUUAUUUUGGAUACCGCGGGAGGGGGAUUCACCAUUACAGAAGUGGCUUGUUAACCGAUCGUUUCUAGCGUAAGUAACAAAAAUUUUAAUAGUCGAUAUCUGAGAUUUCAAAUUUAAAAUCUAGUUGUCUCAUAUUUUCGACUAAAUUUAUUUUUUAAAAAAUAAGAAACAGAUAGCAUAGUAUCUUUCUUUCAAAAAAAUAAAAUAAUGGCUUGUUAACGGAAAAAAAUCUUUAGUGGGGAGUUCUCUAAUGAUGCUGAGUUGGGUAACCCAACUUCGUCGUAACGGAUUAUUCUUAUCUCUAUCAAAAAAUUUAAUUUUUUUUAAAUUUUUUAUUUUAAAUUUUGAGUAGGGUUAUUACACUUUUAUAAGUAUAUAGCUUUUUCUACUCAUAAGUUGUUAUUAAUUAUUAUGGAGCUUUCGAAUCGACGAUCCAUAUCGUUAAAUAUGGUUUCGAGUAUUUGAAAUUUUAAACAAAAAAUUUUAUAAUUUUUUAAAAUUAUAAUAAUGUCUAUAAAACGGGUAUAAAAUGAACAGUUGAAAUUGAACGACGUCUUAAAUAUAGAUAAUUAGAUCCUUCAAUAUAAGGUUGAAGUUCUUGAUAUUUAUCUAGACAAUAAAUAUAAUUUUCUAUCAAAAAUCCAACUAAUUUCAACUCUUUUACACUAUUAACUUAGCAAGUAUUUCAAACCGGCCGCUAAAUUUUUUUUUUUUGAGAGAUAGAUAGCAUGCUAUCCGCUACCUUUAUUUUAUUUUUAUUAAUUUAUUAAUUUUGAGAUCUUAUAAUUAUAAGAUAAAUGAUGUCGAAAAAUUAUAAAAUUUUAUUUUUAAAAGUUUCAAAUGUUCUAAAUUAUGAUCAUUAAUUCGGAAGUUCUAUUAUUGAAAAUGACUUAUAAAUACGAACACGAUAUAUAAUAGCCAAACUCUUGAAUUUUAGUAUUUAAAAACUCUAAAUAAAUUUUUAAUAAAGAUAAAAUUAAUAUUUAUCAGUGGAUCAAAAGACACUAUUUGAAAGCUCACCACCGAAAGUUUUAUCUUAUUUGGCGGCCCUACCGCUCGCCAUAGUGGAAAUAAGAAAGCACGAAGUUUGAUGCAAUGUUGGAAGGCAAAAUCUUUGACUGUGUGCCAUCACCGUACUUCGAGUCAUAGGGCCAUUUUAAAAAUCUAAAACAAAGGGCCUUUUUUGCAAAUAGCCCUCUUACAAAAAAUUUUUUAAAUUUGGUCCUGUCAAAAAUUUAUUUGCAAAAAUGGCCCUGAUCUCGCCACGCAAGCGCUACGUCAGCGCCACGCGGGCGGGGCUGGGCCAGAUGGUUAAGUUGAACACGGUGAAUCAUUCACCGCGUUCAAUACAAAGUUUUGUAUUGGAUACGGUGUCCAAUACAAAAUAAUUAAGAUCGAAAUAUUUGUAUUGGACACGGUGAACCAUUCACCGUGUCCAAUACAAAUAAUUGGACAUGGUGAAUGGUUCACCGUGUCUAAUACAAAUACCUCCAACUUAGUCAUUGUUGGAGUAUUUGUAUUGGACACGGUGAACCAUUCACCGUGUCCAAUACAAAAAUCUUGUAUUGAACACGGUGAAUGAUUCACCGUGUCAGCUUAAACAUCUGGGCCCGUCCUGCCCGCGUGGCGCUGGCGUGGCAGGGGCAGGACUAUUUUUGCAAAUAAUUUUGGAUGGGACUAUUUUUGUAAAUAAAAUUUGUCAGGGGGCUAUUUGCAAAAAAAGCCCUAAAACAAAGCAAUGUUAUCUAUACAUCUUCUUAAGUAUUUAUGAGGUCUUUAUUGGUUCACUUACUUUAUGAAAAAAAAUUAUUUUACUAAAACUCCUACUAAAGAGUUUUCUCAAUAUAAAAUCUCCUGAUUAUAAAUAUACUUAUCUAUGUGUACACCUAAGAAUCCAAAGACUAAGUUAUUUUUAAACUUUUUUGGAGUUUGCCUGAACAUAAUGUGCCAAACUAUUUUUUAAAACGAGUAAGAUCCUAUUGAAUAAUUGUAAGAGAUGUGUCUUCUCAAGAUGCAUCUUAAGUACAACUACUUUGUUUAUGGCAUGGUCCAAAAGGACAGCCACUCUCUCUCACAGCCACAUCUAGCUUUUAUAUUUUGUUUUGUAUUGUCUUGCUCUUUGAAUCCUGCUUCAGCUCUAUAUUAUCUGUGUCUUCAUUCAGUCAAAUUUAUUUUAAAAUUUUUUUUUAUCUCAUCAUCAUCAUUCUUUUCUACAAAAUUAUUAUAUUUUUUAAAAAAAUAAUUAAUUUGAGAUAUAGUAAUAUAUAUAGUACCGCAGUAAAGAAAAAAAAAACUUAAAAUGUGGCAGUUAGAUGGAUGAUCUAAUAUUUUUAAACCCAUCUCAUCAUAAUUUUUUCAAAAAAAUAUUUUUAUUAUACUUUUUAAAAUAAAAAAUUAAUUUAAUUGAAUAUAAAUAAUAGAAAAAAUUUCAAAUACCAUCCUUGCGGUUUCACACUUUCUACCUUUAGUAUCCUGUGGUUUAAAUUGUAUCAAUUUAGUGCCCAGUGGUUUUAUUUUUAUUUUUUUGUUAUCGAUUUCACUAAUUUUUUUUCGUUAAAUCAGUGACAAAGUUAAAACUAAAAGAUACUAAAAUGAAUAUUGGAUAAACUUAGAUGGGAUACUUGAAAUUUUUUUGUAUAUAAUUUAACGAAAUAUUAAUGGAGAAGUUGACGAAAAGAUAAAAAUAAAACCGCAUGAUACUAACUUGAUACAAUUUAAAUCACACGAUACUAAAGUGAGAAAUGCGAAAUUAUAAAGAUGAUAUUUAAAAUUUAUCCUAAAUAAUAUGAUAUAGUUUCUACAUAAUACAUUUUUUCCACUGCAUGCAAGACAACCUCCCCGCCCAUCUGACCCUGAUUUGGCACACUCCCCGUUAACGCACCAUCCAAAACUUUCCACAAAGCUCCUUUAAUUAGCUCUUCAGCGUCUUUGCUUGCACGAGCGAAGCAGAUGCACCAGAAACCGAGAAAGAGAAAAGAUUAUUUACUAGAUUAGAGGAGCACAGGUGGGACUCAGCAAGGUCUACUGUAUCAUAGUUACACCAUAUUAUUAAUAAUAAAUUAAUUAUAUUUUUUUUAAUUAUAAUGAAACGGAUGAAUCUAAAGAGAGUCAUCUUAUUAGUUACAAACAUCAAAUCAGUAAUAUAACUUGCGUAUUUUUUAUUAUUAUUAUUAUUAUAUAUAUUUUUUUAGGCGUGGUCUUGCUGUGCUGUACUUUCUCUGCCACCCUACUUGUCUUAUCUCUGACCGGAAAACCCUAGCCAUUAAUUAGCAGAAAUUAUUGCCUGGACCCGGCAGCACUGGAAUUAAUGUGUGCUCUACUAAAUCCCGACUGCAGUACAUAAACAUCUCUUAAAAUUAGAAAUGUUCGAGGCUAUUGUUUAACAAAAUUUGAUACAAUCAUAAAAUUUACUAAUUUUUUGUGCGCACAUUCUCUUGACUAGAAAACAAUUUAAUUAGCCAUCUUUUUCCAUGCACCCAUGCACCAGGUGCACGAAUGAAAUCAUAGCCCACCGGGGUUGAAUGCGAUCAACCAUAUAUAUCAUCAACAUGUGGACCCUUUUUACUUUUAAAAAAGAAUAGAACAUAUAUACAUGGACCAUUUUUAGAAAACGUAUUCGACUAUGGAGCCAUCAAUUGCAUAAUAAACAUAAUGCACUGGAUAACGUAUCUCGAAUCGCAGUAUAAAUAGAUUCAUACUCUAAUUAUUUUAAAUUACAUCUAAUUCUAAUCUUAGUAAAAUUUUACUUUAUUUUAGAUAUCUAUAGCAUGUAAGCCUUUUUUAUGGGAACCUUUUAUUAGACGGCGAAAAAUUGAAAUUGAAAUUGAAAUUGUUCUCGAUAAGUUAUGAGGAUCCGGCGUAGAGAAUAAAUAAUCUUUCAACCAUUUGUUUUGAUUGCUUCGGUAAUUUUCGUAACUCGAGCAAAAGUGAAACAUUUAACUAAAUGAAAACAUGCACAGAGAAAAUUAAGCGCCGGAAGAGAUUAGCUUUAAUUGGCGAUCAGUAAUGAGGCGGGGGCGGCGGAGGAGGCGGCCGCGCGGUGGGCGCCCAAGCGACCUCCGAAGGGAAGUGGGCGCCGUAAACGGACGUCACCGGCGCCCCCGCAAGCGCCGCCGAGCGCGGCGGGGCGGGGCCGCGGCGCUGGUGGUGGCGAUCCUCCUCCGGCGCGGCGGCGGUGGGGUCGUCGUCGUCGUCGGCGGGGACGCGGUGGACGGCGGGGUUGGAGAACGCCGCGGCCACCACCACCACCGUCUCCGCCGCCACCAUCGGGCCCGCCACCGUGCCCCCCAGGACCUGCCCCUGCGGCCCCGAGAGCGACACCGUGAGCCCCGCCGCCGCCGCCGAGGACGCCGACGCCGACGCCGACGCCGACGCCGGGGGGAGGAGCGCGCCCGACAUCGACAGGACCUCGAGCCGCCCGAGGAGCCGCACCGCCGCGCCGCCCUCCGCCGCCGCCGCCGGCGGCCCGCCGCCGCUGCGGAGGGUCACGUCGGAGACGGCCCCGUGGGCGGAGAGGACGCAGAUCCCGACGCCGCGGCCGCGGACGAAGCGCGCGAGGGCGUCGGCCACGUCGUGCCCGGGCCGGAUCUCGAGCACGUGCGGCCGCAUCGCCGGCGCCGGCGACUGCUCCGCCAGCGUCUGGGCCCGAGUCUCGGCUUGUUCAUUGAUCCGCGGGCGCCCGCUGCGGCCGCUUCCCCGCCGCCGCCGCCGCCGCCGCCGCUUCCCCGCCGCCGCUUCCACUACCGCCGCCGCCGCCUUCUACCUCCUCAUCUCCUCCCUUCGACACGUCGUCGGAGAGGCUCUCCCGCUCUUGGCGGUGGAAUCGGGUGGGGAAGCUUCUAGAGAACAUGGAGAUUUGAUUUGAUUUAGCUUCUCUAUAAAUGGUAUUUUGGAAGAGUAAUAUAUAUAUAUAUAUAUAUAUAUAAUUGGCCUGGAUCUGAAGAGGAUGCCGCAGCAGGGUGGUGGUGGGGAAUGGAAUGUGGGGAAGGGGGAGAUGGAAUGGAGAGUGGGAAGCUCUGCGCUUAAUUUGUGGGCCCACUGCCACGAAGCUAAGACGCACACUACUUUCCUUUCCAAGCUAGCUUCAACUUGUUUCAAAGUUGAAUCUGUUUGCUUUGAAAAUGAGCACCAAACCACUGAUGUGUUUGUGGUGUAAGAUGCCCAAUAUCGAUUUGGAAUGCCGUUACCUAGUAUACACCAUAUUACAUUUAAAAUUUUAAUUUCUUCUAUAAAAAUUAUCUAAAAAUAAAGGCCAAUUUGCAUAAAAAAUUUAUUAGUUUUAAAUUUUUAUCAGAAUAGAUCAUUUUUUUAUAUUUUGGUCCGGAUUUUUAAAAAACUGAUCAAAAUAUUCUCUUUUUUUUUUUUUUUCUCUCCGAAGAGGGCGGCACAGGCAGAGGCAGAGGCGGCCCGCCUCGCCUUUGUCCCGCGUGCCCUCGCCCGUGCCCGCACACCCUCCCUUUGCCUUCCUCACCUCCGACCUUGCCCAGGCCGCGCCGCGACCUCAAUCGAAAUAUCGCCGUUCAAAGAGUGCAAUUUUCAUUCAAAAUGUACAACUUUCGUUCAAGAAAGUACAAUUUUUAUUCAAAAAGUAUAAUUUUUCUCUCAAGAAGUAUAAGUUUUUUCUAGAACAGUGCAAUAUUCCUCUAAAACAAUGCAACGUUCUCUUGAAGCAAUGUAACUUCAUCAUUUUCUUUUUUUCUCUACUUUUUCAUUUUUAUUGUCAAAAAAAGCACAUUUCUUUAUAUUUUUUUAUUUAUUCUUUUAUUUUUUUUAUUUUCUGCAUUUUUUUUCCUCGGCUCGACUCUUAUCGGCACUCGCUCCGAGUCCUCCUUCUCUGGCGCAGGUGUCGGUGCCCACGUCGGCGAAGACAGAGGAAGAGAAUAUGGCACUGUUCUCGCUACCGUCGUGGAGGGUCACGAAAACGGUGGAGGAAAGUCGAAGAGAAAAAAAAAAAACGAGAAAAAGAAGAGGAAGAGGACUUGACGCUACUCUCUGUACUAUUGUAAAAAACUGGGAAGACGGUGGAGGAGAGUAGGAGAGAAAAAAAAGAAGUCGCAGCAUGGUCUUAGCGGGGUCGGAAGCUAGGAAGGCGGAAGAAGAGUGCGCAGGCGCAAGCGAAGGCGUGCAGGAGAAAGGUGAGGCGCGCAGCCUCCGUCUUCGUUGCCCUCUUCGGAGAGAAAGAAAAAGAAAGAACGAGAGAAGAAAAAAAAGAGAAAGAAAAUGGAAUAAAAAUAUUUUGAUUAGUUUUAUGAAAAUUCAAUCCGAAUCUGUAAAAUUCAAAAAGAUGACCUAUUUUUACAAAAGCUCAAAAUUAAUAAGUUUUUUAUACAAAUCGGCCAAAAAUAGACAACAAAAUUACACUUUUGGUUCCCAAACAGAAAGCGUGAUAUUUUAAUACUUAAAUUUUAAUUUAUAUAAUUUUUUAUUUAAAUUUUUUAAAUUAUUAUGAUUAGAUUUUAUAAUUUAUUAUUUUAACAAAAUAUUAAUAAAUUAUUAAUAUAAAAGUUAUGUACUAUUUUAUUUAUUAUAUUUUUAUAUUAAUAAUUAAUUAAUAUUUAAUGAAAAAAUUAUAUUAAAUUUAUUUAUAAUAGUUUAGAAAGUUCAAACAAUUACAAUGUCACGCCCUACAGUUUGAGGACCAAAGAAAAGUGUAAUUUAUUUUAAAAAAAUUGAUAACUAAAGAGAGUAACUUUAGUCACAAAAAAUUCUUGAAUAUAAAAUAUAUAUUUUUAUUAUAAUAAAUGUACGACUAGUAUUGCUCUAUCAAUUUUAGUGCAGGAGUUUAAACAUCCACUCUAAUUUUAAGAUUAAUAUAAAUAUAUGUAUUACAAAGUGAAGUAUUUUCUCUGUUAAUUUUAAGGGUAAACUUCAAAUAUCAUUUCUAUGGUUUCACAUUUAUUAUUUAUUUUAGUAUCUUAUAAUUUAAAGUGUAUCAAGUUAGUGCUCUGUGGUUUUAUUUUUAUCUUUUUAUUAUUGAUUCUACUAUUUUUUUGGUUAAAUCCGCGACAAAAUUAAAACUAAAAAGUACUAAAGUAAAUAUUCGAUAAAUUUAAAUAAAAUAUCUAAAAUUUUUUUAUAUACAAUUUAAUAAAAUAUUAACAGAAAAAUUGACGAGAAGAUAAAAAUAAAAUCACAUGACAUUAAUUGAUAUAUUUUAAAUCACAAAAUUUGAAACUAAUAUGAAUGGUAUUUAAAGCUUUUUUUAAUUUAAAUCAUGAGCUGGGGAAUACAUUUUCUGUUGAUUUGACGGCGAGAUGGUAGUGUGCAGGAGAGGUGGGUGGGAAAAAAAAAAAGAAAAAAGAAAAAAGAAAAACUACAGCAAAUGAGUCUUCUUUUUCUGUUUCGUCUUUUCACAUCACACUCGUAUCUGUUAUUUAAUGGCAUGUCGACGGAAAUUAUUUCCUACACCCUGUGUAUCAACAUGCCUCGUGCACCUCACACGACUUUUGAUGAUUAAUUUAUUAAAAUUUUAAUUUAAUUCGAUAAGUACAGCUAAAAUCAUCUUAAAAAUAAGUAAUACGCACCUGCAUUCAAAAUUUAAAGUCUUUUUUUUUUAUGGACACAUAUCUAAUCUGAAAAUAUUUAUCUAUUUAGUCAGAUUUUGAUUGUAAAUAUUUAAUCUGAAAAUUAUCAACUUUCUAAUUUAUUUUUUUAGAAGAUUAAUAUUAAAAAUAUUUUUUUUAACGUUUCAACAUAUUGCAAAUAUAUUUUUAAAGUUAAAUUUUGAGCAAAAUAAAUGGAAUGUACUAAGCAAAUUAUAUAUUUUUAUAAUUUUUAUUCUUACUUAUUGCUCGGCAAACUCGAAUACAUUUGCAUCCCCUGUAACUUGCAUAGAAAUUGUGGACACUCGAUAGAAAACAACACCAUCAAUGCAUUCGUACCUCUCUGCAGCAACACACCCACCCACCAAACGCUCUAUUACAUGUCUGACUUUUAACUCAGGCCGAUUUGGCUCGCAAUUUGCGCGCCCUUCAGUAACGUGGAGGAUAGGAGACACAAUUGUAGCCAAAUAAGCAAAUUAGGUACAAUAUAUGAAAGCACUGCAGGACAAAUUUUUAGGGCGUGUUUAUUUUACCAAUAAAUAGGGGUGGCAAUCCAGCUCGUGGUUCGCGAAUUAGCUCGUGUUCGAUUCAAGAUGAGCUCGAGAUUGGCUCGCUCGUUCAGCUCGUUUAAUAAACGAGCCGAACACGAGCUGGGAUCAGCUCGCUCGUGUUUAGGGGUGGAAACGAGCCGAGCUCGAGCGAGCUUACCUCAGCUCAAGCUUGGCUUGAAAUUAAUUUCGAGCCUAAAUUUAGGCUCAAGCUUGGCUUGAAAUUAAUUCGAGCCGAGCUCGAGCGAGCCUAACUUCGAGUCGAGCGAGCUCGAGCUCUAAACGAGCUGCUUGAAAUUCUUAACAUCAUGCAAUCUAUACUUUAAUUUUUAUAAAAUAUUAUCUAAAAUUUGAUAUAAAAAAUAUCUAAUAGUUUAACAUAUAAAAUAAAUGCAUGAAAUACGAUAUUAUAAUACUAAAAAAAUUAGGAAAAGCGACUCUACGAGGAAGGGAUAAAAGAGAAGAAGAGGGUAAUUAGAGUAGGAUUUUGCUGGUUUGGUUUUGUGGGCCCAAUAAUCUAAAUUCUAUUAUACAUAUAAUUAAAAUACAUAAUAUAUAUUAUUUUAUAUAAUUAAAAUAUAUAUUAUAUAUAUUAUAUAUAUAUAUAAGAGUUGGUUACUAUAUAUACUUUUAUGAGUAUAAAUCCCUUUAUACUCAUAAGUUUUCGACCCGUUAGAUCUAUUCUUUUGACCAUUUUAUUCGUUAAAUCAUACUAUUCAACUAACCACCCACUCAAUCUUACGGGACACUAUCAUUCUAAUCGCAUAUUUAACGGCUGAAAAUUUAUAAGUAUGAAGGGGUUAUACUUAUAAGAGUAUAGUAGCACGAGCAUAUAUAUAUAGAAUUAGGCUACCAUACUAUUAAUAGCACAGACCGCUUGCUAUUAGGUUUUCGGCCCUUGAAUGAAAGAAUGUGCGGUUAAUAUGAUAGUAGCCUCUAGGGUUGAGUGGGUGACUAGUUGAAUAUUAUGAUCUAACGGAUGAAAUGGCUAAAGAGAUAGAUCUAACAGCAGAAAACUCGAUAGCACCAUAUGCUUGGUACUAUCGAUAGUAUAAUAGCCGAACUCUAUAUAGAUAUAUAUAGCAGUCAACGGCAAAAAACUCAAUAGUACAAAGCGCUUAGUACUAUAGAUAGUAUAGAUAGUAUAGUAGCCGGACUAUAUAUAUAUAUAUUAGAGAGAGAGAGAGAGUCCGACUACUAUAUUAUCGAUAAUACUAAAUGCUUGGUACUAUCGAAUUUUGUGCGUUAGAUCAUAUUAUUCAACUAACCACACGCUCAACCCUAGAGGAUCAUUUCAUUCUAACCGCACAUUCCUUCAUCCAAAAGUCGAAAACCUAAUAGCAAGGUUGGUACUAUUAAUAGUAUAGUAGACUAUAUAAUAUAUAUUAAUAUGUAUAUAUAUUUCGAGCUUUUCGAGCUUAAUUCGAGCGAGCGAAAUAAUACUCAAGCUCGGCUUGAAAUUAAAUUUCGAGCCUAAAUUUAGGCUCAAGCUUGCUCGAAAUUAAUUCGAGCCGAGCUUGAGCGAGCCGAAAUCGAGCCGAACACGAGUCGAACACGAGCCGGCUCGCUCAUUUCCAGCUCUAUCGUGUUCGGCUCGAUGACAGCUCGAAUACAUAAUAUUUAUAUUUAUAUAAUUUAUUUAAUUUAUAUUUUUUUAUAAAAUAAAUAAUUAUAUAUAAUAUAUUUUUUUAUUUUAUUUUUAGCAAAAUAAAAUAAUAAAUACAAGCUUAAUUAUAAAAAGACUCAUUUAUAUGUAAAAUUUCAACUAUUAGAUCAAAAUCUAAUAAAUAAGAUUUGACCUAAAUUUAUUUUUUUAUAUAUAUUUAAUCUAAUUAUUUUUAAUUUAUUAUUCGUUGGCCAGCUCGUGUUUGGCUCGUUAAUAAACGAGCCGAACACGAGCUGAAAUUUUCGGCUCGAUACUUUAACAAACCAGCUCGUGUUCGACUCUUUUACACGGUAACACCCCUACCAAUAAGUGAGGAGGGAUGAAAUUACCUUCAGUCAUAAACAUCCACUUCUAUAGUUUGAUUUCCUGGAACUUUACCUUCUCUUCAAACUCAAAACUCUUCAAAAUAUCAUAAGUUGAUUUUGACCCACUCCAGACAGAAGUGACUUAAAAGAAAAAAAAAAGGUUAAGAACAGAUUAAUAAAAUAUAAACCCAUCUCUCACGCUUUAAAUUUUUUAUUUUUGUUUUAUGCCAAAAAAACAACUGAACUGAAAAAACUUCUGUUCCGUAGCUAUACAAACAAAUAGCAGAAGAAAAUUACCUUUUACCUAAACUCUCACAUUCAAUCUGAAUUUCAUCUUUGGUGAAAGAAACAAUCCAUGCCCUCAAUAUGCAAUGCCAGACUAAACCCUUAACAGCAAGCAAGAUGUGAUGGAGGGUGAAUGACUGAAUGCGACUCAGCUUAAAAGUGGAUUAAAAUAUGUCAAAAUUAAGCAAUAUGUAUGCUGAAUUUCCAUAAAUGAGGCAAGUGUAGCAACAUUACAACUUUCUAAAUUACCUCGACCUGCACUAUGUUUCUAUUGAUCAGAUUUAUAGUGUCGACGCGAGCUCUUACCUGUUACUAACAUAGAACCAAAUGAGACAACAAGAAAUUAGCUUCUAUUACAGGCUAAAACAAAAAAUUAGUGCAUUUAAGGUCCUUCUAUCGUGUUCUCGGAUAUAUACACCAAGCCAAACAAAAUCUUUAUACAUCUCACCAGAGUUGCCCUCGAUCAAAAUCUUUUCGUGAAGCUCGGCACCUGGUAGGAGAUUAAUGCCAUUUAAUAAAAGCAUCACCGUGGCUAUAAUCAAAACAAAAUCGAGUCCUGAAGCUCGGCACCUGGUAGGAGAUUAAUGCCAUUUAAUAAAAGCAUCACCGGGGCUAUAAUCAAAACAAAAUCGAGUUGGGAAGUUACCAGUAUCAAAAGAAGAUAGUCGAUCAUAGCAUCCGAAAGGGAGGGGGUGGAACUUGAGGAAAUCCCAGCUGUGUCGCCUGAAAAAUGCCAGGACGUGACAUUUGAAUAAGACCAGGUUGAGGCAUUUGAAUGGUGGCAGGUUGCGACAUUUGACUCGAGCAAGAAUGGAGCAUUGGGUUGCAUCGCGGUUGCAGCAUUUGAGUAUCAGCAGAGCCUUUCACCUUCUUUUUACUCUUCUUUUCCAAUUGAUUUUUCUUUCUCCCACGUGUGGGAUCGAAUACUUGCAUAUUCUCAUCAGACCAUUGCAUCUCAUUGUCAACGCUGGCUAUAUUGCUUUGAAUCGAUUUCCCAUUAACACCUUCGACCAUGUUUAAGUUCCCUAAAUCAUUUUCGAUUAAUUCCAAUGCCUCCAUCAACUUCUCUUUAACAAUUUUAGCUGCUCUGGCUGUCGAUGAUCCUUUCUCGAAAACAAAACGCCCAAAAUGGAACAAAUCACUAAGCCGAGAAGCGUGAGAUGACUUGCUAGCGUAGUUCGAUGAUUCAGUAGGAUAACAUAUAGCCUCUUUUCUCGCAUUGUUAGUCCAUCUACGCAAUAUAUACUGAGCCGGUAUCUCAUUAACAUUAUUCACAAGAAACACCCUCAAAGCAUGGCAACAUAACAAUCCCAAAGUCUCAAACAACUUACAACUACAAGAGAUGGUAUAAUCAGAUUUAUCAAAUUUCACGGUGAACACCUUUUUCUCACCAUGCUUAUAAAGCUCGUAGGUGGCUACUCCUUCGCCAUUGCCCUCAAUGUAACUCAUCUCUAAACCUUCAAGAAACUCCUCUCUAAACAUUUCAAAUAGCCUGGUCGUGUAGACAUUAGCUGCAUGUUGAAGAAUUCCGCCAUGAGGAACAACAUUUGAAAAGGCGCUGUUCUUGCAAUUUAGAUCAUCAUCCCGCUCCCCUUUACGCAUAUCUUCUGCCUUUCUCUCAUAAUGUUCGAUAACUUGAAUGAGAGAUAAUGAUGCGCCUAAAAGUUGACGGAAAACACUAUACAUACUCUCACUUCUUAGGGUUGUUUUCAUUUUAGCCGAAAAAAUAUCUACUUCAAAAGCAGUACACCAUUUUGCUCGAGUCUCGUAAAGUCGAUUAAGCCACACAUUGUCCUCAAGAUUGAAUGUCUUGAUCAUGUCUUCCCAGGUUGAUUGGAAUUCCAUUUCAUCCAAACAUCCAUUAAGGCACUGACUGAAUUUUGCACCGAAACUUGGAUUGCUGUAAAUCUCAGCAAGAUGUUUCUUAGAGUUAUUAGGAAUAUGCCAGAAGCAUAGUCGAUGACGUGACUCGGAAAACACAAUCUCAAUGGCAUUUUCCAUUGCCUGAUCUUGCUCGGUAAAGAUAAUUUUCGGUUGCUGGCCUCCCAUAGAAUCUAAAAAUGUCCGAAAUAACCAAAUAUAUGACUCUGUGGUCUCAUCCAAUAGUAAAGCACAACCAAAUAAUAUAUUCUUCCAAUGAUGAUUGAUACCGAGAAAUGGAGCACAGAUCAAAUUGUACUUGUUAGUUCUAUAUGUAGUAUCGAAAAUCACAACAUCCCCAAACAUAUCGUAAUCUAGCUUUGAUCUUCCGUCUCUCCAAAAGAAGUUUGUCAUUCUGUUUUCUUGGUCGACUUGAACCGAAAAGAAAAAGAGGGGGUCCUCUACUUGCCUACGACUAAAAUGAUUGAUAAUACCUUGUCCAUCCCCAGGUUCAAUUGCCACUUUAUUCACACUGUGCAAGUAACUGGGCGAAUCUUUUUUCACAACAUUUUUUGCAUCACCAAAUUGCUUGUCUGAAUGCGGAGUCGAUCUUGUAUGGGCAACUAGUACUCUCCUACCGGAUCUUAACCUAUGCCUCUUCUCUUGGCUCGCGAACUCGUGAUUGUGCACAUCAUUAAAAUAAGUGACUUCCCAAGUACCAUCAGUUAUAGUGAACCGGAUUCGAGCUGUGCAACCAGUUCUAGUUUCUAAACGAUUAACUUUUUUAGGGUUGCAUCGCUCAUAUUCACGAAACCCGGCUUUUGAGCAAACAUAUUCUCGUUGUCGGAGAGCCCCAUCAAUAAACCGCCUAUUCCCUUUUCUAAUGCUAAAGCCCUUUCGUAAAGCAUGUAGGUUGUAGAGAUCAUAUGCUUCAUCUUCUGAACCCACCUUUAUACCAACUUCGAGCUUCUCAUCACAAUCAUCUAGAUUUACAACCUCGGCAUUAUCUCCAUUAUUGAUUUUGUCAGCCAAAACCGGGUUGCCAGCUGAUUGAGCCAUUCAACCUGCUACAGGAGCAAGGACAUGCUUAUUCCAGAAGAAUGUACAAAUACUUUGCAAACCAAAAAAAUCAAUACAUGGGGAGCGGGACGAAAAUUGGUCAGACUUAAGUCCAUUACCUUAGGCCCAGACAUUCAAUCAAAACUAACACAGUAUCAAAGUUCAAGACAAACAAUAAUUCAAGGAUUUUGUAUGCUGAGAAAAAGAAAAGGAAAUCAAAAUACAUCAAAUCAAAUAAUAGCAAACUACAGGAAAUCAAAUGUACAUCCUCAUUAUCCAAUAAAAGAUCAGUUUCCGAAGCUGUAGCUUCAUUUUAGACCGUUCAGGUUCAGUUUGUUAGAAAUAGGAGCUCCGGACAAAAAUGUUACCAUUUUAUGACUUUAGAACAUUCUCACCUAGGAAAGUUUUAGGAAAGCACCAUGUUCCUUCCUCAUUAAGUACUUUACAAGGCCAAUCCGGUGCUGAAUUCUGAGGACAGCGGUGGAUUAACUUGACAAAUUUUUAGCAGGUUUGAUGAAGCAUAAGGUACCAAAAUAAUGGCCAGCUGCAGAAGCAAAAUAAUUAUCAUUAGCACUGGAGAAGGGAGAAAAGAGUCAAAGCAGUAUCUAAAGCGUAAUCUGGGAAUGUUUGCCCAAAUGCACCAACUUUGAUGCUUUACAAGAUAUGAAAAUUCCAAAAGCACAUUAGAACAUUCCUUCUCCAAUGUUGUGGCAGUUCCUACCACCAUUUCAUAGAAAGUCUAAAACAUUCUGGACUUUUUAGACCCUCUAAAGCAUAAAAGCGAGUGUGUUUGAGUAACACAUUUCCAAACUAGUCCUGAAUUGUAAAAAAGGAGGAGAAAAGAGGAGGAGAAAAGAGGAGAGACGGAAAGAACAAUGAGACAACAACGGACAAAAUUAGCUAAGUGUAAAAUAGAAAUGCAUAAGCAAAAAAGCAAGAGAGGGCAAAGGUGGCAGGUGUCCAAAAGAAACACUUGAACCAAUUGAUCUUCGGUCAUAUAGAGAGAAAAGGAGACUCAGAAUAAGUUUCUUGUCGUAAGAUCUCAGCCAAAAUCAAUAUGAAUUCAUCUAGCCCUCUUUGGAGUCUUGACUUAGACGGAUAUAUAAACUUGUAGUUCCUAUCAAUUCCAGCCCCUAACUUCAAAAGAAAUAGUGGUAAAUAUGCCAGCUAAAAACACGAUUUCUGGGAAUUUAUUCAGAGAAUUAUGUAACAAUUAAUUCAAACCGAACUAGUGCCUUCAUGCUGCUGGAGUCAUAUUCAAAUUAUUACUUCAUAAAUAAUCGGAAUAUUAGUUUCCCAGGUUGUUUGGUUUUUUUUCUUCGAGGAGAAAUUCGGAAACCGCCCUUAUUGUAGGGCAAAGUUUCACCCUACAGCUGUGUGUUUCAGAAUGUGGCACUUUGCUACCUAGUAGAAACUAUUCUAAUUCCGUGAAGACUUGCCAUCAAAUGCAAUAGGCGACUCUUUCAUUCCCUAAUCUGUUAAAUACCUAAUUAAUCUAGUUAUGAUAAGUAAUGUUCUUAUCAUUUUCUCACUUGUAAUGAAAAAACAGAGGCGAUAAACACAAGCUAGCAAAUUGCUACAAUUUGAACCCCCAUCCUCUCUCUCUCUCUCUCUCUCUCUCUCUCGCCCCACAAUCAUAAUAGAACAUCAAAAUUACUAUAGUUCUGAUAAUAAAUCUAGCAAACAAAGAGGCCUCGAAGGCCUUUCACUCAGAUCCUGAUCAAAUCCGAAUGAAAAAACAGAUGUUCUACGCGCUAAAGAAGCCAUUAAUCGUAAAAAAAAAGAAGUAAAUUGAGUGUUGAAUCAUAAACUCUACUGAUAAAAGAUGGAAUAAUUGAGUAGAAUAGCUAUUAACUGCAAAUUGCCCACAACAUAACAUACAAAAAUCCUCACAAUUAAAACAUCAAAACAACACGGAGGUGCGCUUAAUUCACAAUUACACAAAUUUCCUCAAAAAAAAUCACAAAAUGUUCGGAAAAAUCCCUAAAAAAACACAUACCGCAACAGAGAACGGGAUCGGAGCUCCGUUUGGAUUCCUCUACGCGGCGGCGGAGGGAUUGAUGAUGGGGACGGAGCUCGCGAUGGGGAACGGUCGCGCUCCGCGCCGGAGAGGGCGAGAGGGGGCGAACGUCCCGGUUCCAACGUUAGGGUCUCUCCGCUCGUAGCUUCGCCGCUACAAAAAAAAAAAACUCGGACGUUUAUUGUGACGACUACACUCGACCGUUGGAUCUACGAUCUGAUGAUGUAUACAUGUGAUAAUCAUCGUACUGGUGGAUCAAAAGGAACAAAUGCUGAGAUAGACACCACUUUGUCCUAAAAUUUAAUUUUUUUUUCAAAUUUUUAGUAUUAAAAAAAAAACGCAAGAUAAAAAUCUAAUACGAACCCUAUAAUUUACAUUUUUUUUUUUUGACUAAAUUACAAAAAACCCUCCUGUAAUAAUCCGCUUUUUCACUUUUCCCCCCUGACAUUUAAAAACCUACACUUUGCCCCCUUGUAAAAUAAAAAAUGUGCACUUCAUCCCCUAUCGUUAGGAUUCCGUUAUAAAAUAUUUUUUUAUGUCGAAAAUAUUCCUCCGCCCUCUUCCUUGUUGCUUCGCCUCCCUCCGGCUCGCCGCCGUCUUGACGCCUCGCCAUCCUCCACUGCCUCGCCCUCGCCUACAUCCCCUUCGCCCUCUUCCGCCACCUCGCCUUCGCCCUCGUUGUCCCUACCUACCUCUCCAUCAACACCCAUCUCGAUUUUCUCCCUAUUAUCGUCGAAAUCGAGGGGCGGCGAGGGUGUAGGAGGAGAAGGGGAGCAGGUGGAGAAGGAAAUGGAGAGAAAUCGCGGCCGAUUGAGGUGGAAAUUACGGCCGAUCGAAGGGACGGCUGAGAAAGAUGAGGAAGAAGACGAAAAUGGCGAUGGGCAAAAUGAUCAUUUUACACACCGUAAUCCUCCUGUAAAUAUUUUUCAUUUUACAAAGGGGCAAAGUGUAGGUUUUUAAAUGUCAGAAGGGAAAAUUAAAAAAGUGGGUUAUUACAGGAAGUAUUUUUAUAAUUUAACUUUUUUUUUUUUUUUNAAAAAAAAAAAAAAAAAAGCGAUAUUAUUUCAAACUCGAUGAGUUAGCCUGAAUAAGAGCCACUACAUUAUAAAAUAACUUAUUAAAACAAUUUUUUUGUGUCCAUUAUAGAAUAUUAUGCAAUUUUUGAUAAACAAUUGAUGUAUUUCUAAAGACUAAUAAGUGGCAUAUUUUUACUGUAAUUUUUUUUUCCCAAUUUUGUCCACUGGGGGAGUCCAAAAGAGUAAAAUUCAAUUUCUUCCAAAAUUUAGUGAUACAUUAUUCUAUUAGUAAAAGACCACUAGAUUAAAAUUAUAAUCUUUUAAGUAAAUAAGAUAUAUUUUAAGGCACAAUUUGGAAAGAGUUCGUUCUUUCUCUCAUAUGGGACAUAUUUAGGAAAGAAAAAAAUAAAACAAAUAAUUGGAUCAGCUUAGAAUUUUGCUCGAACUAAGUAAUUACCUUACUGAAUCCACCUCGUAAUUCCACAACUUUCAUAAAAUCACCACCAUUCAAUCAAUUUUACUCCUCAACUGUUUUAGGAUUAAUUAUACAGUUGUCUGUAAAUAUAUCGAAUAACAGAUAUAUUCAUAUAAAAUUUAACUUUUUAUAUUUUUUCCUACAAAAGUCUUAAUAUUUUUAAUAUAUCUCUAUUGUUAUGAUCUAUUAGAAAAAUAUAGUUAAUCAUAAAUAAAAUACUUAAUUUUGAUUAGUGAAUGAGGUAAAUUAAUUCUUUUACUCAUCUUAUAUUAUUUGUCAUGGUAGAAAGAAAAAAUAUGACUGUUCAAAAUUUUUGAAAGGAUAUUUUUGUAUAAUUUCAACUAUUAGAAUUUUUAAAGAAACAUAUUUGUGAUAGUAAAAAUAUCAUUUUAUUUAUUUUCUGUUAAAAAAUAAACAAUGCUAUAACGGUAACAAACUAGAUGGACAAAUAUAAAUAUCACCGAAUUUUUAUAGAGAUAAAUAUACAAAAUUUAAACUUUGGAGGGAUAUAUUUGUUAUUCGAUAUAAUCAUGGGAACUAUAUGAAAUUAAUCCAAAAUUUUAAAAUUUCUUAUCUUUUAAAUGACGAGAAUUGAAAUAAGUUUAUCAUUAGGCGGUCCACGGAUCCACGUGGUGGACACGGGUGCAAGCAUAACUUUCCCCGACCUAGCUGGCAACUAUUUACUUGCCUAGUCUCUUUACAAAAAAAUUUUCCUGUGAGCCUUUUUGAAAAAUAUUUCCAAUUUAGCCUUAUUUUUAUAUUUUAGAAAAAAAUAAUAAGUUAAUAAUAAUUUUUAUGUAAAUUAAUAUGUUUUUUUCUUUUCUUUAAAAUUAAGUGAAUGUAAUAUGAUUUUAUAUAUGAACACUUUUAAAUUAUAUUGACUUGUAUAAUAAAAUUAAGUACUAAUAGUACUAAUAAAAAAUUAUAAUUUAGAAAUAUUAUUAUUAAUAAAUAAAUUUUUUAUUAACUGUUUAUAUAAAAAAUUACAUUACAUUUACUUAAUUUUAAAGAAAAAAAAAAAUAAUCUCCACCUACUUAACAUAUUAAUCAAUGUAAAAAUUAUUAAUUUAUUAUUUUUUUUCUAAUCUAUAAAAGUAAGAUUAGAUUGAGAAUAUUUUUCAAAAGAAGAGAUUAGAUUGAGAAAAUUAUAUAUUUUUUUAAAGAGGCUAGACAAGUCAAUGAGUCUGCAGCGCACGGCUAUUAAAGUGCUUUCCCGAGAAGCCGCGAACAAAUAAUCUAAAACAAAAAAAAAAGAAAAAAAGAAAAAAAAGAUCAGGCGAUGGGCGUGGAGAAGCGGAUUCUGAAGGCCGGCGAGGGCCCCGAAAUCGUGAAGGGCCAACUCGUCACCGUCCACUGCACCGGCUUCGGUUUGCUCACAUUUUCUUCUUAUUUAUUCCCCUUUUUUUUGUCUAUCUAAUAAUAAUUUGUGCUAUUUUGUAAAAAGAAUAUUUGUGGCGUAGCACGAAUCAUCGUUAGCACACAAGAUAAAAGGGAUUAAUGGUUUUUGUUAAAGUUUUUCUCUAGGGUUUGUAAUAUAGGCAAGGAUUUAAGUGCCAAUCUAUGGCACGAUACAGCCUCCGUGGUGACGUUACAGUUUAAAACUUUUUAUUUUUUAAAUUAGUAAAGUUAAAAUGAUUUAAUAAAGAUACAUAAUAAGUAAUUGAGAUAUUUUGUUGCUAAAAAAAAUAAAUAUUUUAUAUCAUUAUUAUGCGUUGGUAUAUUUUUUUUAUGUUUUGUUACCGUACUGGUAAAUUUUCGGCACGACCUCAUUGCCACGGGACUUAAAUCCUUGAAUAUAGGUUUGGUUUUAAUUGAAACCCUAGGCUUAUACAUUGGAAAUAAUUUGUAGAGGGAAUCAACAAAUACCUAGGAAAGCUAUAUAGUGCACAAUCUUUGUUGUUUUUUUCUUUUUAAAGCGUAAAUCCAGUUACUUCUGAUUAAUGGUUAAAAUUUUCAUGUUUUAAUUUGUAUUGGUUUUGUAUUUCUAGAGAGUUCGUGCUAUCAGUGGAUGUAUUUUUGCUGCUGUUUUCAAGUCUUCAUCUGAAGCCAAUAUUUGUAAAUUGCGUGCGAAAUUCAAUUUUGCUAACGCGAUUGUGAUUUUCAGCAGGAAAGAAGGGUUCUUGCCGAAAAAGGUUUUGGAGGUAAAUGUUCUUCUCCGCACGAAAAAAAAAAAGAGAAAAAAAAAAUGUGCUAAGACACUUUGAACUAAAAGUACUUUUGCAAACAGACGCCUGAACUUAAGACACUUUGACACUUUGAACUUAGUAAAAUGUACUAAGACAUACUUUGAAGUUACUAUUAAACAGCUGUUUUCGUCGCAUCUCUUGCACAUAAUUUUGUGUGAUUUCAAGACACAUAGAAAUCUAUUUUUUCGUUUUAUAGUCACGAUAAUUAAACAUCGGGGUUGAAGAACAAAGUGAAUAUAUCGUCUUCAUGUGUCAGAAUACAAACAAAUAUAUUUCUCUGUCUUUUUGAAGCUUUACAAGAUUGCGGAAUACAAAGCAAUCAUAACCGUUGUAGUAGUAACUGCGAUUGAGGAGAGGGCCUAUUGAGCUAUUUGAUAAAGUUUAGGGGGAUCCAAUUGUCAUAACUUAAAAGUUCAAGCACCUGUUUGCAAAAGCGGUAAUGUUCAGGGGGCAUUUGUAAAUUUUUCUCAAAAGAAAAUCGAUCGAGUGCACGAAUAUGACAUUAGUUCCCUCAAUUUCACUUUUCAGCACUAGAGAUGCCGGGCAGCAGCCGUUCAGGUUUAGAGUCGGUUUUGGUUCAGUAAUAAAAGGUAGUCUCUUCACACAGUUUGAAUAUUGAGGAUUGAUUUUCUUGCGACUUUGCAUGGUGAACCAUCCAUGUCUUUUCAAAUUUGCAAGGUACUUUUUUUAGGAAAUUUGUCAGCGUUCAAAUUCUUAAGACUUCUUCGUAUGUUAGCUAAUAUGUUCUCCACGAGGUUUUUUCUUGUUUUGCUUUGUCUUUUAUUUUUUUACAUGCUGCACCACUUAUAAAUUGUCGUAUUAUAAUAAUGAGACGUAAAUGUUCUCUAAAGUUGCCUUUUGUUUUCAAUUAGUAGAAUGUAACUGCAAAAUCCAGCCGCCACAUUACCAAACGCCUUAAGCAUUCUGUGAUUUUUUUAAUCUGAAUCUGAAUUUUUGUUUCUUAUACAAGGUUAGCUCUUCAAAUUGAUCUUUAAUUAGGUCUUCGAUGAUCAGAUUGUAAAAUUGAAAAAUAAUUGCUUCCGAGUGAUGAAAGCAAGUCGGAGUUUUAGAGUGAGCUAGUAGUAUAGCAAGGACAAAAGAUGAUAACAGUGACAAUCGUCCCUUGAGCAAGUGGUAAAGGGCUUGAUGGUUGGUAUCCAAGAUUCCAAGUUCGAAGUCUAAUUGCUUCAUAUUUCAAGCUAAGUUCAUUUCUAGAGAAAAUGAACGAAGCGGGUAGAAUGCAACCUUUCUCUCAAAAAAUAGAUGAAAACAGUGUAUUGCGCAACUUAGGUCCAAUGCCUAAGCAUCUACUGCCUAUACAUGAUCUAACCAGAAUUGCUAUUCCAAGUGAUAUUUUGCCUACAUAUCAGAUUUUUCAUUAGCUACAGAUCUAACUUAUUAUGGUAGUAUUUACAAUAUUCUUUUGACAGACUUCAAAAUGUCAGUUGUGCUUCCCUUGGUGUCUUUAUAUUCUUGGGUGUUUGUUUAUCUUCUCUGUUGACAAGCAGAUGAAACUAACUAUUCUUUGAAAUACUAUAUGAUGUUUAGAUAGCUGCUAUUUUCGAUGUAUAUAAUGAUGUCAACAGCUCUUAACAUUUCUAGAUAAGGUAAGCUUGAACUUUGUAGUAGAUUAAUGUCAUCCAGCUCUUAAGAUUUAGGUAUUUAACAGAAGAUUGUGUUCUGUAUCCUUUAAAAGAUUCGUAGGCAAGAACGUCAACUAAACUGAUACCUUCUCUCUGUAGGAUGGGACGAGGGAGUGAUUGGCAUGCAGUUGGGGGAAAUUGCAUUUCUUCAGGUAGCGUUCUCAAAUACUGAAAAAGCUCUUCCAUUUUUGUGCCGCUUUGCAUAGACUUGCUAACAGUGUCAAUCCAUCAUCGACCUUUUUGCAUUUCGCAAGUGAGCCUGUUUGAUGAACAUAAUUUGCGAAACACACGUCAGUUUUCUGUCUAUCUUAGUGCUUGUUACUCUUCUUAAUUUGUGCAAUGGAACUGCUCCAUGUUUUACUCCUGUGACUCCGUUUGGCCUUGUUUAUUUCCAAUUGUCUAGUUGAUUUUAAAUCGAGUAUUGACCUAUUAUUCUGAUUUCACAGUGCACUCCAGAUUACGGUUACGGAGCUAAUGGAUUUCCAUUCUGGGGGAUUCCACCCAACUCUGAUCUGGCAUUCGAGGUUGAAGUCCUUCGAAUUCUUAAUGUUCAUUCUUGAAGUAGUAUGCAAUUUGAUAGGUGGACCUUAAGUUAAUAGGUACAUGACAAACAAUAGUUUUGGCUAGAAUGUUAGAUGACCUUGGCCAUCUUAUUUUACCAUAUCAUCUUUUUCUUUUCCUUUUAUUCUGACAUAAUAUGUGAACAGAUGAGCAAAAUUUUAUGCAUUGCAUUUUGCUGCUUUUCUACGGUUAGCUAUUUCCUACUUUUCCUCUUGAAAAUUCAAGAGUUCACAGGUUUUUGCUGAACUAAAUUGCUGCUAAGAUUCAGGUAAAGCUGAAGCAAAUAAAUGAUGUGAUGUGAAUGCUUGUUUUGUAACUUUGCUCUGUAAACUCCAGAAAUGCAUCUGAAUUGGACAAAUAAUAAGUCAAUAUUAAAUAAUUUUAUAAUGUUUGGAACUGUAAAUCUUAGUGAGUUUCUUUUUCUUUUUUUUUUGUAUAAUAGUAUAAACACACAAUUCCAAUCAUCCUCAUAAUCUCAGGUUCUUUUUAGAUUUAGUUUUAAGUGGUACCAGUUAUUCAUUGAUGAAUGCGAUUCCUUUUUGAACUUAAAAUUGUGUCAAAGUGAUCUGCUUAAAUCGAGGUCCGCCUUGCUGGAUUAAGUAGAUCCCACUCCUUCAUCAGCUGCUUAAAAAAGAACGGUAUUUUUAUAUUUGUUUUAUAUUUAACAUUCUUCCUCACGCGUGCGUUCGAAAUUUUUUGAUAGACUCAAAACCCAAAAUGUGAAUUUAAUUAAACAUGAAAAAGUUAAAUAAUAGUAGAAAUCUGGCGGGACUGUUCUGAUACCAUAUUACAUGAUAUCAAACAAUCUUUUUUGAUUUUCUAACUUUAGCCGAGUGUUGGUUUAUUCCGGCCCCAUAGCGCUUGAGAUGUUUUAUUUUGAUAUCAUGUUAAAUUAUUUAGAAUAAUAGCUGGUAUUCAGAAACUUAAACAACUAAAGAAUAAUAAUUUUAUAUUCAACUGAUAUCCCCUGUUAAGAUCAAAAUCUCCUAAUACUUCUGGAAGAAAGGGUAUUGGUCACAAAUUUAGAACUAGUCAACUGGUUGGAUUUGGACUUGACCAACUUUAUACUAAUUGCUUGGCUGGGUAUGAAUCAAUUCCUACCAAAACCUAUUUCAUUUCUAUUCCUUUCCACUUAGAAGAUUUUUUUUUUUUUUUUUUUUUUUCGUUCCACCAAUUCUCGAAAGUUCAGAAUUCGAAAUUGAUAGAAAAGUAAGAAUAUGGGCCCAUGUGUGUAGGCAGGUCGACUCAUCAAGUUUCUAUUGAAAUAGAAUCUACACAAAUUUAUUUCGAAAAUUCAUUUUUCAAUAUCUUUCCUAUAAUAUGACACUUGGAUUGAAAAGAUGUAAAAUAUCCGACCGUCCUUAAAGCAAGUGGCAAAGGGCUUGGUGGUUGGUACCCGAGACCCAAGUUCGAAUCCUAGUUGAUUCACAUUUCUAGCUAAGUUUAUUUCUAAAUGAAAUAAACGAAGCAGGUAGCGUGCUACCUAUCUCUCAAAAAAAAAAAAAAGAAAAAGAAAAAAGAAAAGAUGUAAAAUACUUGCUCAUUUUAAUGUUACUGGAUGGUGAAAAUAAUUUAUUUAGCAAAAUUCCUCAGCAUUGGUAUUGUAACAGAGCUGCUUCCACUACUACAUCAAAUUUCCUAACACCUAUUCAAUUUUAACAGUUGUAUGAUAUUAAUUUGAACAUUUUAAUUAAAAAAAAUACACAAAAAAUCUCUAUUUUUUUGAGAAUUUCUUUUUAAAAAAAUUACUGAAACUUUAAAUACCUCCCGUGGUUUCGCACUUUCUCACUUUAGUACCCUGUGGUUUCAAGUGUAUCCGGUUAGUAUUCUAUAGUUUUGCACUUUCUCACUUUAGUAUCCUAUGGUUUCAAGUGUAUCCGGUUAGUACUCUAUGGUUUUGCACUUUCUCACUUUAGUACUCUGUGGUUUCAAGUGUAUCAAGUUAGUAUUUUGUGGUUUCGCAUUUUCUCACUUUAGUACCUUGUGGUUUAAUAUUUCGUUAAAUUAUAUACCCCGAAGUGGAUAAUAAAAAGAGAAAAUUGAAAUCACAGAGUACUAACUUGAUACAAAAAUAAAACCAUAGGGUACUAACUUGAUAUACUUGAAACCAUAGAAUACUAAAGUAAAAAAGUACGAAAAUAUAAGAUACUAACUUGAUAUAUUUUAAAUCAUAUAGUACUAAAAUGAGAACGUGCGAAAUUAUAGGAAGGUAUUUGAAGUUUUCCCAAAAAAAUUUAGAAAAUUCUGCGCCACCGUGUAUUGUGGAGUCUCACAAAUUCUAGAUGGCUUGUGCGCGGCGUGGACUCGCGGGAUGGUGGAGCCCACACGGAACACCCCCCCUCGGCGACGCGGCGUAUUAUAGCGAUGUGCGCCGGUGGUGAUGCUGAGCCCAGGAGGUUCCUUUUAUGGGCUUUUUCGCGCGCGCGGGCGCGCUUUUCGACAACGGAGCCACGUGGCGAACGGGUGGAAGGACCAUUGACGCGUGCGGGGCCCACAUAAGUGAGCGUCCUGUGAUCCGGCACGCUUUUGCGUCGCUCUCCCCGCUGAUUUGUUGAUCCUAUGAUUCGCAGAACCGAAUGGACGGCCCUUGUUGAUUCGGGCGAUGCUCCACCGUCUCCCCACGUGUGCCACGUGGAGAUCACCCGGCGUUUAAAUAUCUCUACACAAAAUUAAAUAUUGUAACGAAACUUCUGGGCCCCCACCCCGUAGCCCGUGUAACAUCGACACGUCAUCUGUAGCGGGGCCCACAAGGGUCAAUCCCUAGUGGGCGGGGAUUCGAACAGAUUCCGUGGGGGUACAGAGCCACCCACAUCUUGUGGACUUGGGGUCCGGCCGCGGCGCAUCGUCAGCCGUCCGAUCAUCCGAAUAAACCAACUCUCAAGAUCCGACGCUCCAAAAGCACCGGACCCAGUUAUUCGAAACCCUAAUUAGGGUUCAUGGAAUAAUCGCUAGGGCAUCCGAAGAGCCGCGUCGUGGCUAAGCAAGUAGGGGAGGUCCUCAAAAUGAAAAAGCAAAAAGUACGAAUAAUAUAAAUUGAGUAUUAAAUAAUUAAAUACUACCUUCACCAGGAAAAACCCUCCCUUGGUGUUCCGACUCCAUUUCGACUCCCCUUCCUAUUAGGAUCGAUGGACCUAUAAAUACGGUUCUCUCUCCCUCCUCUCGAACUCGUCUUCAACAAAGAGGAAAACCCUAGCUUAUGUCUCAGCGAGCAAGCGUCCCACACUCCGCCUCUAUAGCCUUCGCUCGCCAUUCCCAUCUCCUGGUCUCCAGUGAGAUGAACCCUAACUCCAACUGGUAGCGGCAAAGAAGUUUCAUUGCUUUGAUCUAAGAUUUCUCUCGAUCCUCUUCGAGAGUUCGAGAUCUCCGGUCCCUUUCUUUUGAUCACAGCAAGAAGAAUAUUUUUAUAAGAAAAAAAAAGUGAGAUGGGUUUGAAGGGUUUCGUCGAGGGGGGCAUCGCCUCGAUCGUGGCGGGGUGCUCGACCCACCCGCUCGAUCUCAUCAAGGUGCGGAUGCAGCUCCAGGGGGAGACGCUCUCCCCGGCCGUGACCGCCGCGCAACUCCGCCCCGCCCUCGCCUUCCCGAGCGGCGGCGCCGUGGCGCUCCCCCACCACCACCACCACCACCACCUCCUCCCGCCGCCGCCGCGGAAGCCGGGGCCGAUCGCGGUGGGGGCGCAGAUCCUACGGUCGGAGGGCCCCGCCGCCCUCUUCUCCGGGGUCUCGGCCACGGUGCUCCGCCAGACGCUGUACUCGACGACCCGGAUGGGGCUCUACGACGUGCUGAAGAAGAAGUGGUCCCCCGGGGGCGACGGCGCCGCGCUCCCGCUCCACCGCAAGAUCGCGGCUGGGCUGGUGGCGGGCGCCGUGGGCGCGGCGGUGGGCAACCCCGCGGACGUGGCCAUGGUCCGGAUGCAGGCCGACGGGCGCCUCCCCGCCGCGGAGCGCCGCAACUACCGCGGCGUCGGCGACGCGAUCGCGCGCAUGGCGCGCUCCGAGGGCGUGGCGAGCCUGUGGCGCGGGUCGGCGCUGACGGUGAACCGCGCGAUGAUCGUGACCGCGUCGCAGCUCGCGACCUACGACCAGGCCAAGGAGGCGAUCCUCGCGCGCCGCGGCCCCGGCGCCGACGGGCUGGGGACGCACGUGGCGGCGAGCUUCGCGGCGGGGCUGGUUGCGGCGGCGGCGUCGAACCCGGUGGACGUGGUGAAGACGCGGGUGAUGAACAUGCGGGUCGAGAAGGGCGCCGCCCCGCCCUACGCCGGCGCCCUCGACUGCGCCCUCAAGACCGUGCGCGCCGAGGGCGUCACCGCCCUCUACAAGGGCUUCAUCCCCACCGUCUCGCGCCAGGGCCCCUUCACUGUCGUCCUCUUCGUCACCCUCGAGCAGGUCCGCAACCUCCUCAAGGACUUCUAAUGGCGAUGAUGAUGAUCCGAUUCGAUCAGAUCGAAUGUUUUCUUCUCAUUCUUCUUUACCCAUGAUGAUGACGACGAUAAAAUAAACUUUUAAUGAAAAAAAUAUAUUUUAUAUAUUUAAUUGGUAUUAUUAUUCUUAUUAUUAUUGGUUUGGUUUAGUGUUGUUGUUACUAUUAUUGCUUUAGUAAGAGGUUUCCCGUGAUCUUGGGCCUCUUAAGGCUGCGUUUGGUUCGGGUAUAAGUAAGAACUGCUAGUUCUAGGGAUAGGUACAAGUUCAGGUAUAAGCAGGAACUAGACCAAUUUUGCGUUUGGAUGAAAAUUGGGUUGUUCCUAGGAAUAAGGUAAAUAGUGUUUGGAUGGUUAGAUUGGAACAAGAGGAAUAAGAGUUAUAAUUUGAAAUUAAAAUUAUAUUAUGUAAUUAAUAGUAAUAAAAAUAUUACUUAAAAAUAAAUAAGAAAUUAAUUAUUAAUAAUUAAUUAUUAAUAAUUAAUUAUUAAUAAUUAAUUAUAAAUAAUAAUUAUUAUUAUUAAUUAAUUAUAAAUAAUAAAUUAAUAAUAUGGAUUAUCUAAUUAAUUAUUAUUAUUAUUAUUAUUAUUAUUAUUAAUUAUUAAUAAAUAAUAAUAAUUAUUAAUUAUUCUUAUUAAUUAAUUAUAAAUAAUAAAUUAAUAAUAAUAAUUAUCUAAUUAUUAAUAUUUAAUUAUAAAUAAUAAAUUAUUUAAAUUAUUUAAUUAUUAAAGUAAUAAAUAAUAAUUUAAAUAUAUUAAUUAGAUUAAUUAAUAAUUUACUGCCAUUAAAAUUAAAUUUAGAUUUUAAUUAAUCUUGUUCUCAUCAAGGAACAAGCUUGUUCCAGGAAACGGGUGGAACAGCAGUUCCAGCCUUAUACCAGCUAGUUCCAGAUUCCCGGGAACUACUGUUCCCGGGAACCAAAAUUGCGUUUGGGAACAAAGGGGGGAACAAGGGCUUAUUCCCCCCCUUGUUCCCGAACCAAACACUACCUUAAAGUUUAAAGGCGAAGGACAGUCGUGGCUUAGCUGUUAUGCUUUUUCGUUGUUUGUUUAAUUGUAUCAGUUCUCAAGAAGCCAAAAAAAAUAUGAACCUGCUGGAUUUUGUAUUAAAUUUCAAAUUGUCAUUUGAAAAAUUACUAUUAAUUGUUAUUAUGUAUGCUGUACGUUUGAUUAAUUGAAUUGUGGCCAGUUUGUGGAGCACGUUAGAAUUUAACGACUCUUUUACGCUUUUUCUAGAAAGUUUUAACUUUCAAAUAGUAUUGUCCAAAUCAUGUUUUUUUUUUUUUUAUUGUUAUUAUUAGGAAGUGUGAAAAGGUGACUUGAAUGGUAUUGUAAGCAUUACAUCAUAGAUGCGCGUGUGGCACUGAGAUUCUCUCCUUUGCAUGUUUUGGACUAAUUGACAAAAUUUAUAGGAAUAAUUUCAUAGAUGCCCUUUUAGAAACUAUGAAUUUCAUCAAUACCUUUCUAAAAAUGAUAAUAUUAUGAAUGCCCUUCGAUAUAUCAACACUAGAAAUACUAAUAGAUAUUUUAAGAUAAUUUUUAUAAACCUAAAUUUGAAUUAUUAAAUUAAAUUAUCAAUAUAUAUUAAUUAUUAAAAAAUAUAUAAAAAAUGUAUUUUAUAUAUAGUGUGUUUUUAUAUGAUUUUGGUUUUAUUUCCGGCUUCGGAUUUCAAUUCAGGUUUUGUUUGAAUAUAGACCAACUGAGUUUGAAUAAAGAACUAUCUCUAUAAAAAAAAAUAAAGCAAAUGUAUGUUAAAUUUGAAAAUCAAAUGUAUGUUAAAUUUGAAAAUGAAAUCGUAUCUUAUAUUUUGAUCAGAAAGAACUAACUCUAAUUUGAGUUUGUAACAGAUUAUUUCCACCGCGAAAAAAUAAUUCGCAACAGAUUAUUGCGUAUUUCGCAAUCAAUAAUUUUAAAUAAUUAAUUAAACCAAUAAUUUCAAAUAAUUCGUAACCAAAUAUCCAUAUUUGAGUUUGACACGUGGCAAGCAUAUAGAAAGCCACGUGUCAGCUUCUCACAUAGGGUUCAUUACACGUGGCAAGCAUAUAGAAAUAUCCAUAUUUGAGUUUGACACGUGGCAAGCAUAUAGAAAGCCACGUGUCAGCUUCUCACAUAGAGUUCAUUAAGGGUUCUACUUUUAUAUAUAGUAAUAGAUUUGACACGUGGCAAGCAUAUAGAAAGCCACGUGUCAACUUCUCACAUAGGGUUCAUUAAGGGUUCUAGUUUUAUAUAUAGUAAUAGAUAAUAGAUUUAAUUUUUUUCCUAUUUAAUUAAAAAUAUAUCAAAUAACUAUAUGCAUGCAUUUUUUGGUCGAUUGAAAAAAAGAGAGUUUUGUUCGUCAGCUAAAAUAUAUUAUAUUUUAGUUUUUUAAUGUAUUUAAUGCAGAUAAAAUUAUUGAGAAUAAUUUUGGUUUAAAAAAAACUUGAUAAAUUUCUCAUUUUUCAGACACUAAAAUUAGUUAAUUUUUUAGAAAACUAAAAGUUAAUGAGUUGUCAACUAAAAGAAUAAAAAUUAAGGGAGUAGUUUCAAAACGUCAUAGUUGAGGGGGUCUCCAUACAUUUUUUACUUAAGGGAUAGUUAAGGGCAAAUAGGUCAUUUUAAAAGUUAACCCAUCUUUAACUCUUUAAUAACUAUAGUAAAGCUAACACAACUAACAAUAGGGGUAUGGAUGAUAAUUUUUUAUGUUUGCGAGGGCAUAUAUGAUAUUUUAAACUUUAUAGGGGCAUAUACGAUAUUUUAGACUUUGGGAGGGGUAUUUAUGAAAUUGCCCCAAAUUUAUAUACAUUUAUUGUGUAUAUCUUUUGUCAUUGAACUUAUCACAAAGUCUGCUUGAAUACGUUGUUGCCACAUUCUGUAGAAAUCGAAUUUGUGAUCUCUGACUCUGAUGCUAUUUGUCUGAUCAUUGACGCUAAUUAUUAAUCUCUAAAGCUCAAGUUAUUAGAAAGAUGUAAUCAAUUCAUUCAAAAUAUAUAGACACAAUUCUCACGUGUCUUGAUUGUGAUUCAGCCGAAUCAGCCUUAUGUCACUUCGAAGAUGAUCCGAUACUAUCCAAUUUCAUGUCAUUUUGAGUAUAACUUAAUCCAAUCUGAUCUCGCGUUAUAAGAUAGGAUGCUGAUCCAUUUAAACCAAUAAAAUUGUGAUAUUCUUCUUAUUUCUCUAAUAAUAAAAAGGAAACAAUGACCGACUUAUCUAGAGCAACUCACUCAUCAACUUUGCAUUAUCGUGAAUUAAUUGUUGCGUUAUCUGACCGACCGUCCAGUUGAUGCAUUAUCGUGAAUUAAUUGUUGCGUUAUCUCACCGACCGUCCCUAGAGCAAGUGGCAAAGGAGCUUGAUGGUUGGUACCCGAGACCCAAGUUCGAAUCCUAGUUGAUUCACAUUUCCAGCUAAGUUUAUUUCUAAAUGAAAUAAACGAAGCGGGUAGCGUGCUACCUAUCUCUUUAAAAAAAAAAAAAAAAAAAAAACUGUUGCGUUAUCUCUUGAAAACAAACAAGAGCAUGUGAGCCAGUUUCAUGCACCUCUCUUCGUAAAUUACUACCCAAUUUAUUAAUGUAUUAAAUUGAAGAUUGAUGAUCAAAAUUAAAUCUACUGAUGAGUUUAGUGGCGAAUGAUGCAAUUUGUUUGUUGAAUGCGUUUAGCAAUGUAAUUUACCAGAAUAAAAGGACAGUUAUUCUAAAGCUAAAGUAAACACAAAACCACAAAAAUAAGACCCAUUUGCUUCAGCCGUUUGAUUCUUGGGUAUCUACUUGUAUUAUACUACGAGAAGCAUCUGGAGAAGUUGAUUUGUCGCAGCUCCAGUACCAAAGAUCUCCACCAUAUUCACAAAUGUGAGUUCUGAGGAAAGAAGCAUCUUAUGCUUAGUCCAAAAACGAAAUAUCUCAUUUUUGCACUUCUGGUUAAAAAAAAAAAAACUAGAUUUUUUUAAAAAUCUUUUAAGAUUCCAGGAAACACUAUUAUUUUUAUUUUCUGAUUCUUUUUUUCUGAAAGUGUAAAUAUUAUUUUUUUACAAAAUUUAAUUUUAUUUAUAAAGCUAAUUUAUUUUGGAAACAAGUGGAAAACUGAAAAGUAAAAUCAUAAAAAAUCAUUUUUUAGAAAAAUAUUUUUGUACUUUUUCUAAAACCAAAAAGUCUAUAAGAGGAUUGAAUUUGAGACAUAUGAUGACUAUGUUAGUUGUCACUUUAUUAUUUUUGCUCGCGGAAUAUUUUGCCAUAAAAAUUUCUAUAACAACAAUGAACUAUUUUACCUAUCGUUUUUAAUAUAAUUGGCAAACGAUUUGGUGGUUGAUACUUGAUAUAAUAUAUCAAGUUAAAAAACAGUGGACUACUUUAAGCCUCUAACUUUGAGGCAAUUUUUUAUAGUUUUUAACAAAAUACAUGUCAUUUGGUGAACAAGGUUUUGGUUUUGGCAUCAUAUUUACAACAGAACAUGGAGUGACAAUUGUCCUGAUGCUACGUUACAUCAUCAAAAUAUUAGUGGGUGUAUCAGGUACCAACACGUUUUUUGGGUGUAGUACGCACCAACACGUUUUUUGGGUGUAGUAGGCAUUAAUUUUUGGGAAAACUUCAAAAAAACCCCUGUGAUUUCGUAUUUUCUCAUUUUGCCCCUCUGUGGUUUAAAAUGUAUUAAUUUGCCCCUCUGGUUUUUUUUUCUCUUUUUUUUAUCAAUUUCAUUAUUUUUUUUUCUUAAAUCAGUGGUAAAAUUAAAAUUAAAGGGUACUAAAGUAAAUAUUUGAUAAAUCUAGAUGGGUAUCUGAAGUUUUUUAUAUAUAAUUUAAUUAAAUAUUAACAAAAAAGCUACCGAAAAGAUAAAAACGAAACCACAGGGGGGGCAAUUUGUUACAUUUUAAACCACAGGGGUAUAAAGUGAGAAAAUACGAAACCACAGGGAAGGUUUUUGAAGUUUCCCUUAAUUUUUCAGGCCUCCGUGUUUUAACCCAGUUCACAUAUGCUGUAUCACGUCCUCCUUUUUAUUAUUUUUUUUUUUAAGAAAAAUAUAGUAUACUAUCUAUUUUAUUUAUUUUUUAAAAUAUGAAUUUAGUUAAAAUUUAAAAGUGUGGGCAGUUAGAUUUCGAAUUUGAGAUCUCAGAUAUUUACUACUUAUGCUAGGAAUGAUUAGUAUAUUCACUACAAAAAAUUUUUAAGAAAGCUUUUUAGACGAUGCUUGAAGAAAAUAUUCCUAUAAUAUAAUAAAUAUCGACGUUUCAAAAAAUAUCGUCAUAUGAACUCUUUAUCAAGUCAAUUUAUUAAAUGAUAAGCUUUUCUACUAUUUUUAAUUUGCCGACGUUUUAAAGUGUAUAUAUAUAUAUAUAUAUAUAUAUAUAUAUAUAUAUAUAUAUAUAUANAUAUAUAUAUUACCGACGCUUGGUAUAAGCGUCGGUAUAUGUAUGAUGAUUCUUUAUUUAUAGACGUUUUAACCAACAUUUUCAAAUAUGACGCUAUACUAUAUUGGAACAUUUUUAAGUAUCGUUAAAUAUAAAAAAAGAUUUUUAAAUGUUAAUUUUCUUGUAGUGAUUGUAUUAUGUUAUAAUGUAUUGCAAAAGGGCUUUUAGACACAUUUUACUUAGAAGGGAUCUAUAUAUAUAUCUAAUUCUAUUCAUAUAAAAAUGAUGGCAAACUAGGCUUUACAAGUUAGAGCUUUAGCAAAGUGCUUUUUAAGAUCAUUUGUGACUUUUAUUGUUGCACCGAGUUGUCUUAUACCAUGUUAUUAGAUCCAAGUUUAAGCCCACUUCUAUAUAUGGGGUGGUAAAUUGGGUUCAAUCAAUCAAAUGUCUUCUAAUAUAUUUGAGCUGAGAAUUGAAAAGUAAGUCUCACCAUCAAUUAAGUCCACUAUUCGAAGUUUAUAAAAUGCAAGUAAACUGAUCUUAAAUGAUAAAGUGAUUAGUAGUUAUCCAGCAAGGUCAGAUGGAUAGCUCCAAAAAAAAAAAAAAAGAUUACUGCAAUUGAAUUUAAUAGAAAAUUAUAGAUAAUUUGGGUGCUGACCCUUAAUCUUCGGAGGAGAAAUAGUCACAAAACAUACCAUUUGGUUCGGGUAUAAGUAACAACUAGCUAUUACAGGGAUAGGUAUAAGUAUGAGGAUAAGAAAAAUAACGUUUGGAUAAAAAUUGGGUUGUUUCCGGAGAUAAGAAAAAUAACGUUUGGAUAGAUAAUAUGGAAUAAGAAAAAUAUUAUGUAGUUUUAUAUAGAAAAUAAAGGUGUUGGUGGGGAUAGUUAUAACUGAUUAUUAUAGAUAAUCGAAAAUUACUGUUCUCGAAUAAAAGCGUUUGGAUAUAAAGAGGAUAAGGGUCUAUCUCUAUUCCUAUCCCCU